rnacentral:lncRNA from 1 species
CACCACCACCUCAAACCUUACUACUACCACUAAAUUUAAACUCUUUAACGACAAUUACGCUGAAAAACUUUCUAAACAUGUGUUGGGUGAAGAAACAAUGAAAACUGGUACGGCAAUCAUGAAUCCCAACUUGUUUUUAGGGUUUUGGUUAUUCAAUUUUAUAGCAUUUGGGCUUCCGGUUCUUCUAACCGUUUUCCUUUUAUACGAUGUAGCUCGUAUUCUUCUUCUCCCGCUUUAUUUUCUAUCCGUCUCCUACUUUAACUGCAUGACAAUAAUAUCUCCGUCCAUGUUUUGGGCAAACCUCAACUUUGUUGUCAUGUGGGCAGCCAUUAUUCUCCCGUCUGUCUUUGUUUUUGGAGGCGUAUGGUUAUGCAUGCUGCCAAAGUACCGGGAAAUCAGACAAAUGCGCAGACGUGUCCGCAAUGACAAUAAUAUCGGAAUAAUUCAGUACUUGCGAAUGUCAGUCUAACUUAUAUAUUAUAUUAUGUACCCUUUUCCAUUUUCUUUGUAUUAAUAUCUUUUCUUUUUGAAAAAAAAAAAACACUAUGUAAUUGCUUUGGAUAAAUUUAAUAGAAAUAAGAUUACCUUUCCCGACAGAUAUUUUUGAAGUAUCGUUUGUUCAAAAUCAACUUAUUUCUAAAUGUGUUAAUAUUAUUUUCGAGUUAUUAAUUAAAAAUAUCUUUAACAUAAAGAUAUAUGUAAUAUAUAUAUAUUUUUAUUAUUUUGUUUAUAUAAUAAAAGAGUUAUUGAUUAAAAAGAUGAAUUAAAAAAUUAAAAAAUAAUAUAUUUAUUAAUUAAAAAGUACUAUUUUUUAAAAUAAUAUGAAAUAAAAAUACAAAUAUGAGUAAGAGAUAAAUUAAAACCGAGACUCAAAAAUAAAAUGACUAACAUUUAAUUAUUUGACCAAAUGAAUUAAUGUGUCAAGUUAUUGAAGAAAAUACAUUUUAUCCCCACAUUUCUUUCUCCAAAAUUAAUCUAUUUCUACAAAUAUUAAAAAAAUCAACCUUAACACUAAUUAUUUUCUAAAAAGGACAUACGUUGCGAGUAUGCCUUAAACCUAGGAAGGGUGGCUGUGGUGCGCCACACUUUCUAACGCAAAUAAUAAUAAUAAUAAUAAUACAUUAAUCUAAAUUACAUGAGAGUUUGGUGUCCCCUUUUCUUAAUUCUAAACAAUAAAAUCUCAAAAAUAAGAAUAAUAAAAUAAAAUAAAAUAAUUGUAUUUAUAUAGAAAUGAUAAAUUAAGUAAAAUAAAUAAUAAAAAUAUGUCAAUUAACUAAUUUCACUAUCAUUUAAAUAUAUUUAUCUUUUGAAAAAUACUUUUUCUUUUUUAAACAAAGGGUGGACAUCAUCAAAAAUAACUUAGAAAAGUAGAAAUUGUAGCCGUACUAGAACAUUUUUCAUCUAAACAUCAGACUAUUAAAAUGCUGAAAAACCUCCAAAUUUACCGUUCUCUACAUCCAUUACUAAUCGUAGACGGUGACAAAGACAUUCGACAGAUGAUAAGCAUAAAAAAAAUACUCUUUUAACUACAAUACUAAAAGCGUCCGCUAACCAUUUUUCAAUUAAGAUAUUAAUCAAGACGGAUUAAUUUAGUGUUAAAUAGAGUAAGUCUAGGGGUGGGUUUGGAUGGGUGAUUGGGUGCGGUGCGGUGCGUUUAGUUUACUUUUUGUCUCACGCUACAGUAUCGCUACAGUAUCUAAUCUCACCGCCACCGCUGUUUUUACACUAACCUCAAAUAAACCCACCGCCCAUCCAAACUCACCCUAGACUAAGUCCGUGGAUGAAUUUCCGCAUCUUUUUUUAGGCAUUAAAUUGAGAGCCAAUCAGAGCCUUCCCCUUACUACCAAUCUAUAAAAAAUUGGAUCUUUGGUUUGAUUUUAUCAAUAAAAGAAAUUCCUUCCUCGGUUUCUUAAAUUUGAUAACUUUUAUCAUUAUCAUUAUUUUAUUAUAUAAAAUAAUUUUGUUCACUUUUCAUCAAUAAUGAGAUCAAUUGUUUCGCUAAUAGAAUAGAAAAUAGAUAGUUACUCAAUAUUAUAAUGGUACCAUGUGUUUUUAUGUUUUUAAUUUUUAAUAUAAUUAAUGUUAUAACCCUCCUUAUGAAGCUAGUUAAUGUAAAGGAUAAUAAUUCUAAUUAUCUGUGCUUAAAAUUAAUUCAGUUGUGCUUUCAAUCAAUGUCUGAUUUUGAUAUUGCAAGAGGUGUCCAGCUAUGUGGUGAGAUCUUGAAGGUGUGUCUUUGUAACAACUUGAGAAGCUUUUUGGAUUUUUUUCUUCUUCUUUUAGGUUUAUUAUUAGUAAAUGAUUUUUUGCUGCGAAAAAUUAGCUUAAAAACAAAAUAUAAAAAUGAUAGGAAAUAUAUGUUAAUUUUAUACAACGACAAUUAAUGACAUUGCAAUAUUACUUAACAACAUGAACAAUCCCCACCAUCGUAUUGUCAUUCCCAAGUAAUGGCGUAUUCUCUUUACUAGGAAAAUAUCCCUCCUAACGCUGGCCGAAAUUGGUUGAAACAUUAUGCAGCUAAUUUGGUAAGAUCAUGGACGUGUUUAUUGCAUCAAAAAGAAAUAGAAGAGGUCGUCGGUUUUGUUUCGUUAGGUAUGGUAGGCUGGAAGAAGCAAAGAGAGCAUUGUGGAGUCUAGAUGGAAGGUGGUUCUCUAAUCAUAGAUUGACGGUCAGUAUGGCGAAGUUUAAACCUAGAGAUGCUUUGUGGAGGAAGGCAAAUGGGAGAGAGGUCAGACAACAUACAUAGAAUAUGGAAAGAAGAUGUGUUGAAGGAAAUACGGGACCGCAUGUAGAGAAGAAUGCAAGUGAGAUUAUGGCAAAUAAUAAACAACAUGAAGAAAAUGACCCAAUCAAGUUGGACGAGAUGGUGGAAGAUUUAUGAAUUUCCAGAAAAGAUAAGAGAACAAAGUAGUAGAGGGAGCCAUUGAUGGAGAGAACUUGAAGUGGCUUGAAAAAUGUAUUGUGGGUAGAAUGAGAAACAAUGCUACUGUGGGGUUAUGGGGUGAUGCUGGAAUUUAUAAAAUUGGAGUCCAAAGAUCAUCGGGUAAUGAUUGGUAUGAAUUGGAAGCCAAUGAAUGGGGAGAUGUUUUGCAAGUGUUCAGAAAGUUGAACGGUGGACAACGAAGAUGAAAGAUUAAGGUGGUUAUCCUGUUACGAGAUUCCAAUACAUGCUUGGUCUUCGAAGAUUUUGACGUACUGUAUAGGCGGCCACCGAUUUAUAUACCUCGUCAUAUAUAGAUAUAUUAAUCAUUUCUUAAAAUAUUCGAUAUUUAUAUUCAAUAUAAAUCUACCCUUGACGGAUUAAUUAGUUUAGUGUAAGCCUGGUUUAAAUCAGUUGAGGUUUCAAAUAAGGAUAGUCAGUUUGCAACUCUCCUAAUUUUUUCAUCAUUUAAAGAAAGAAACAAAAGCAUGGAUCCAAGCUUGAGAGAAGUAGCUGGAACAGGAGAUACUGAUGCCUUGUACGCUCUAAUUCGAAAGGAUCCGUACAUGUUGGAGCAUAUUGAUCAGAUUCCUUUCAUCGAUACUCCACUUCACAUAGCAGCAAAUGAAGGUCAAAUUAAGUUUGCAAUGGAGAUGAUCAACUUGAAGCCUUCGUUUGGUCGGAAGCUAAACCAAGACGGGUUUAGCCCCAUGCACUUGGCCCUCAAAAUGGGGCAUACCAAGCUAGUGCUUCGACUGUUGAAGACCGAUAAAGACCUGGUUCGCGUCAAAGGAAGGGAAGGGAUGACCCCUUUCCAUUGUGCAGCUGCAGUGGGGAACUCUAAUCUUUUAUUCCACUUCCUUGAAACUUGCCCUGAAUAAGUUGAGGAUGUCACGGUUCGUAACGAGACUGCAUUACAUCUUGCUCUGAAAAACGACCACACAGACGCUUUUAAUCUCUUACAUGGAUGGCUUCGAAAGAACCGUCGAGGAGGAGGCAAUGGUUUGGAAAGAAAGGUUGUGAAUUGGAGAGAUGAUGAUGACAACACUGUGUUGCACAUUGCAGCUACAAAUCAACAACAUCAGGUAUAUAUAUGCAAUAUAAUGAUAAGUUGCGUUCCUUUGAUCAUUUUAUUAAUGACUAUUUAUAAUAUUCUACGCAGGCAGUACAACUGUUGUUGGAUUCCUUUUAUGGGUUAGAUGCAAACGCUAAGAAUUCGGAAGGCUUGACAGCUCGAGAAAUCAUAGAAAGGGUUGAAAGACAAGGGUUGAACAUGAGUGGCGCCGAAGACGAUGAUAUCUCCACCGCCAAGAUUGAGCGCAUUAAGAAAAGAACUAGUAGGUCUGAAAGAGCAUUAGUAAAGUUGAUUCGUGCAAGGAAUGGGUUGUCAGAGAACAUGCUCAACGCAACACUGGUGGUAGCGGCGCUGGUCAUUACAGCAAUCUACCAGUCAUCUUUAAGCCCACCAAGAGGUCUUUGGCAAGGUGAUAACACUAGUAUCCCCACCACCAACUCAAACCUUACUACUACUACUAAAUUUAAACUCUUUAACGACAAUUACAGUGAGUAUCGUUUUAAAUUUCUGUUGGGUGAAGAAACAAGGAAAACUGGUACUGCAGUCAUGAAUCCCAACUUGUUUUUAGGGUUUUGGUUUUUCAAUUUUAUAGCAUUUGGGCUUCCAGUUCUUCUAACCGUUUUGCUUUUAUCCAAUGUACCUAGUAUUCUUCUCAUCCCGCUUUAUUAUCUAUCUGUCUCCUACUUCAACUGCAUGACAAUAGUAUCUCCUUCCACGUUUUGGGCAAACCUCAACUUUGUUGUCAUGCGGACAGCCAUUCUUCUCCCGUUGCUCUUAGUUGUUAGAAGCGUAUGGUUAUCGAAGCAACCAAAGUACAGGGAAAUCAGACAAUUACGUAGACUUUUCCGCAAGUAGAAUAAUGUUGGAAUCAUUCAACGGUUGCGAAUGUCAAUGUAGUUUAUAUGUUCUCUUAUGUUAUGUACUUUUUUCCAUUUUCUCUGGAUUAUCGAUAAAAAAUUUAUGUAAUUGCUUUGGAUAAAUUUAAUAAAUAAGAUUACUGUCGAAACCGCUUUUUUGAAAAAAAAAAAUUUGGUUGUCGACUUUAAAAAUAAAACUGGAGUCGUCACCGAUCCUUUAUUAAGGUGCGAUCGGCCCACCUUAAAAAUUAUUUUGGCCUACGAAUUUUGAGAAAACGAGUUCGGGAGUCAGUUACGCACGAGGAAGUGUUAGCACCCUCGUAACGCCCAAAAUCGGUACCAAAUUGAUUAUUUGAUGUCUUAGUGUCGAAGGUUAAAAAGAUUUUUAAAACAACUCAAAUGAUGAAAUCUGAAAAGGAUACUCAAUUGUUCAAGUCAUGUAAAGAAAUCGAGUCCCAAUACGUUAGGGUACAAUUUCUCAAAAUUCUCGAACUUUGAAUAUCACUUUUAUUUUAUGCGAAAAUUUUCAUUUUGGGAAAGUAACAUGCCACACCCAAUACGUUAGGACACGACAAGUUAAGUUCCCAAAAAUGAUUUUUAUUCUCAUGCAUUUUGAAUAAAGAAUAUUCCCAGCUUUUUAAGAUUGACAAAGAAAAUCAGAACCCAAUGCGUUAGGGCUCAAUUUUCCUCGGAAAUCCCAAACUUCGAAUAAUGCUUUUAUUAAAAAAACCUUUGAAUCAUGAAAAUAACUUUGAUAUACGGUUAAAACCAAAAUAUAUUUUCAAAAGGGUACAUUGAAAAGUUAAUGUACAAUAUGAUACAAAACUUCAAUUUAAAAUACAUGUAUAUAUGUGUCUUUUCAAAAUAUAAGUAUGAGACAUAAAUAAAUUUUGAAAACGUGUAUGAGCAUAUAUUAAAACGGGUAUAUAUAAGUAUACGUAUAUAUAAAAAAAAUGAAAUAUAUAAAACAAAACAAAAACCUAUUAUAAUUUUCUAAGAAAAUAUGCAUGUAUGUAUAUGUAUGCGAAAUUUAUGAAAAUAAGAUAAAAGUAUAAAAAUAUGUACAUGUGUAUAUAUUUACAAAAAAGUAUACAUAUAAAAUAUAAAGUAUAUAUAAAAAGUAAAUAACAAAAAUAAAAAAAACAUAGGUAUAAAAUAUAUGCAUUUAUUUAUAAAACUUUAAUAUAUAUAUAUAUACCUAUAUAAAAAAAACCCAUAUGUAUAUUAUAUAUAAAAAAACUAUGCGUAUAUAUAUAUGUAUAGAAAAUAUGAUAAUAAUCAAUAAUAAUAACUAAUAUAAUAAAAAUAAUUAAUUUUAAUGAUAAAAUAAUUAAUAACAAGGGACCCAAAUUGAAACUACAGGAAACUUUCAGGUAAACAUUUAAAAUAAUAAAAGCUGAAGACUAAUUUGUAGUGCCCUGGAAACAUCAGGGAGUAAACGAGCAAAUAUACCAGCCCCUUAUACGCAGCGUUUUCAUGUUGGACCAAAUUGAAACAGGAAACAGACGUGCGGUCAAAAUUAAAAAUAAAAAAAAUUGUAUUGAAGGUGACUCAAAAACAGAGGGACCAGUUGCGCAAAUUCUCCAUUCAGGGCCAGAACGCGCGGACCCUGCUUGCGGGUCGGGUCGACGCGCGGAUCUGGCCCCUUGCAAAACGGCGCCGUUUCACUCUUAUUAUUUAAAACAAUUUUCUUCUUCUUUUUUUCUAAAAUCUGUAGCCAACAAACAAAAAAACUUUUAACCCUCUGCUAGGUUUUUUUUAUUUAAAAAAACUCCUUUUGUUUUUGCGCCGUCGCUCGUCGGCCACCGGAGCUCCGAUGACGGCAGAGAUGGUAGCAAACGGCGGCCCGAACACAGAGGUAAACUCCUCUUCACUCUCUUCUCUUUAUAAAUCAACAGUAAACAUGGAAGAAAAAAAAUGAACGCCGAAAAAAAAACCACCUUUAUAUUCAAGAAAAGUUUGUAUUUUCCUUUCUUUUUCUCUGUAUUUUUCAGUGUUUUUGUGUGCACUCCUUUACACCGAAAAUCCCCCCUUUAUUCUCUUUACAAAUCUGUUUAUAUAUAACCGAAAAAUAUAAAAAAAUGCAAAAUCAAAGAAAUAUUUUCUGUUAUUGUUGCACUUUCUGCCAUUUUCCAGUUUUUUCUCGCAGGUAUGGGCACUGUUGGGGAGUGCUCACGCUCGUGGAGGCGCAAAUCGCGCGGAGGGAGGACUCUGGCCCGCAUUGUGCGGCGGCUGGAGUUGCUGGAGGCUGCCAUUAGGGUUUGGGGUAUGGGGGUUGCUAGUUGGGCCAGGUUUAGGGUUAUUGGGCCUGUAUAUUUGGUUUUUUAGUGGGCCGGACAAUUUGGGCUUGUACAGUUGCCCCUCUUUGCUGGUUGUCGUAUAACGGGAACAGAGCAAAGACUACAAGGCCCAAUUGUGCCCGGUCUUCCUGAGUCUUAACUUCUUCCAUGCCUCUCUUCUUUAGGUAGCCUCAUUCAUUCCUACUGCAUUUUCAGAGGUAUAGGAACUAGCUUCAAUCCACUCCACCGCAAUGUCAGGGAGAUAGGCUUCGUACGUUUUAGCUUCUCAAAAAGAACAAAAUUUGCUAUCUUUAAUCUGCUCCAUUGCAACUUCAGGGAGAUAAGACUUGUAGCUUCAAUUUGUUCUGCUACAACUUAAAGAUAAGUCCGAUGCGAUCUGCUUUACUGCAACUUCAGAGAGAUGAGAUCUGUGGUCUUAAUCCACUCCAUUGCAACUUCAAGGAGAUUGGAUUGGUUACUUUUGUAUCCUCCACUGCAACUUCAGGGAGACAAGACUUGUAUCUUCGAUCUACUUCACCACCAGUAUGGGAAGACAAGAUCUGCUUUCUUCGAUCUACUUCACGCCAAUACAUGAAGACAAGAUCUGCUUUCUUCGAUCGAUUCCACUACCGAUCGGGGAGAUAGAAUUACUGGCUUCAAUAUACUCCACUGCAACUUCAGGGAGGUAAAAUUCGCCAUCUUCGAUCUGCUCCACUACUGCUUAGGGAGGCAAAAUCUGUAAUCUUCAAUCUAUUCCACUGUUGCCCAGGGAGAUAUAAUUACUGGCUUCAAUGUACUCCACUGUAACUUCAGGGAGGUAAAAUCUGACAUCUUCGAUCUGCUCCACUACUGCUUAGGGAGGCAAGAUCUGUAAUCUUCAAUCUACUUCGCCACCAGUAUGGGAAGAUAAAAUCUGUAUAUUCGAUCCACUUCACUACCGAUAUAAGAAUACAAGACCUACUAUCUUUGAUGAAGACAAGAUCUGUUUUCUUCGAUCUACUUCGCCACCAGAAAAGGAAGACAAGAUCUGGUAUCUUUGAUCCACUUCGCUACCAAUAUAGGAAGACAGGAUCUAGUAUCUUUGAUCUACUUCACGCCAGUACAUGAAGACAAGAUCUGUUUUCUUCGAUCUACUUCGCCACCAGUAUGGGAAGACAAGAUCUGGUAUCUUUGAUCUACUUCGCUACCAAUAUAGGAAGACAGGAUCUGGUAUCUUUGAUCUACUUCACGCCAGUACAUGAAGACAAGAUCUGUUUUCUUCGAUCUACUUCGCCACCAGAAUAAGAAGACAAGAUCUGGUAUCUUUGAUCCACUUCGCUACCAAUAUAGGAAGACAGGAUCUAGUAUCUUUGAUCUACUUCACGCCAGUAUAUGAAGACAAGAUCUGUUUUCUUCGAUCUACUUCGCCACCAGUAUGGGAAGACAAGAUCUGGUAUCUUUGAUCAACUUCGCUACCAAUAUAGGAAGCCAGGAUCUGGUAUCUUUGAUCUACUUCACGCCAGUACAUGAAGACAAGAUCUGUUUUCUUCGAUCUACUUCGCCACCAGAAAAAGAAGACAAGAUCUGGUAUCUUUGAUCCACUUCGCUGCCAAUAUAGGAAGACAGGAUCUAGUAUCUUUGAUCUACUUCACGCCAGUACAUGAAGACAAGAUCUGUUUUCUUCGAUCUACUUCGCCACCAGUAUGGGAAGACAAGAUCUGGUAUCUUUGAUCUACUUCGCUACCAAUAUAGGAAGACAGGAUCUGGUAUCUUUGAUCUACUUCACGCCAGUACAUGAAGACAAGAUCUGUUUUCUUCGAUCUACUUCGCCACCAGAAAAAGAAGACAAGAUCUGGUAUCUUUGAUCCACUUCGCUGCCAAUAUAGGAAGACAGGAUCUAGUAUCUUUGAUCUACUUCACGCCAGUACAUGAAGACAAGAUCUGUUUUCUUCGAUCUACUUCGCCACCAGUAUGGGAAGACAAGAUCUGGUAUCUUUGAUCAACUUCGCUACCAAUAUAGGAAGCCAGGAUCUGGUAUCUUUGAUCUACUUCACGCCAGUACAUGAAGACAAGAUCUGUUUUCUUCGAUCUACUUCGCCACCAGAAUAGGAAGACAAGAUCUGGUAUCUUUGAUCCACUUCACUACCAAUAUAGGAAGACAGGAUCUAGUAUCUUUGAUCUACUUUAGGCCAGUACAUGAAGACAAGAUCUGUUUUCUUCGAUCUACUUCGCCACCAGUAUGGGAAGACAAGAUCUGGUAUCUUCGAUCUACUUCACGCCAGUACAUGAAGACAAGAUCCGCUUUUUCUGAUUGAUUCCACUACCAACCGGGGAGGUAGAAUUACUAGCUUCAAUAUACUCCACGGAAACUUCAGGGAGGUAUAAUCCGCCAUCUUCGAUCUGCUCCACUACUGCUUAGGGAGGCAAGAUCUGUUUCUUUGAUCUACUUCACGCCAGUACAUGAAGACAAGAUCUGUUUUCUUGGAUCUACUUCACCACCAGUAUGGGAAGACAAGAUCUUUUGUAUUCAACAUGCUCCACUGUUGCUCAGGGAGAUAAGGCUUCAUGAUUUCACUGAUCUGCUCUCUGUAGAACAUGACCUGUAUGAUUUAUUUCAUGAACCAAUUAUGCCUAAUGAUUAGGAUGUCAUGAUCAGAAUGAAUCAAAUGCCCCUAACUAGAUAUGUAUGAAUGACAUUUGAAUGAAAGCAAAAUGUCAUGAAAAUGAUAUUUUAACGCUUGAGUUAUUAUUACUCCAAGUUUAUUAAGGUUUAAUUGCAAAUGUGCUAUAGCGCCUCUUUGCUCGGCUGGCGUCUCCAAAGAACAUUUGAUCAGAUUGCCCCCCACUGUAAACCUCUAAGUUUGAUCCACUGGGAUGCAAAAAUUUGUACCAUCUUUCUCCCGUUGUAAACCAAGAUGUGAAAGAUUUGGCCUUUUCUCAAUCCUCUGUUAUCACAAUACAGGAUGUGAAACUUUUUGGUCUCUUACACCAUUCCCAGGGUGUUGUACCAAAAUGCUCAUGCACAAAUGAAGAAAUCUUCUCCAAGAACAACUUCCUCUUAUUAUUCGGUGAUCAUUGCUUGCUUGUUCAUUGAAGCUUUGUCACCAACAUGACAUCUUGCCAUUUUAUUCAAUUUAGACAAGAAAAUUCAAAGGGAUAGUCUUUAAUUUAGAAUCUUCUUUAUCAGAUUUCCAACCUGGUGCGUUUUAAACAAUAGUCCUGUUUGAGGUUCCUAUAUUAUUCAGAGACUUCUAGAGUAAUAUGCAAAACUUCCCUUGUGAAAGUUUUACUAGUCCAUUAAUCAUUAUUCUAAUGCAACAUGCUUGCAAAAAAGAUUAUAGAUAAGAAUAGAGUUGGUUCUGCGCAUAACUUGAAAUGAAUAAGUUGUCAAAGAUAAUAAAGAUAAAUGACAAAGAAAUGUGUAUCUUGGAAAUGAAUGAAGUGUUCCAAGAAUAACAAAAAUGAUAUACAGAUUAGGUGCCCCAGAUAUCGUAGCUUGAACUUCUCUGUACAAACUUGCUGAAGAGCUUUCUGGGCUUGACAUGUGUUUAGAAGAUCUACCAUACUCUAUCGAUGCCCCAAGAUGUCGCAUACCAUUUCCUGCUGAUUCUGGUAUAGCAAGACCACUGUAUAUCCCAUUUUGAUCAGUAUUUGAGCUGCUCUGAUUACUUCAUGCCCUAUUCUGAUCAAUAUUUGAGCCGCCCUUUUCGGGUUUUCAACUCAAAUCCCCUUUGGUCUAAGGCGCCCUUUGCGAGUUUUCACCUUAACCUCUCCAUUUUUUACUCAAAGCUCCCUUUGUAGGGUUUCACAUUGGCCUUUUUUUUGACUCAAAGCGCCAUUUGUAGGCUUUCACCUUGGUCCCACCUUUUAGGAAAAGUACUUCCUAACGGAAUUUGAGUUUACAUAGCUUGGAGAAUCUUUACCAUCCAUCUUACUCAGGAUCAAAAUUUUCCCCAGAAAAGGCUUUCUUUAUGACAUAUCCUCUUAAUUUGGCAUCCAUCUUCCUCUAAAAUCCUUUUGUAUAUGAAGGAUUUGCUUCCCCUUGUGAAAAUUUCUAAGACGAGCCUUUGGAUCUUCCUCUUAGGAUAAAAAUGCAGAGAAAUGACAAUUCGACUUCAAUGAGCAAAGCUAUGAUAAACCAAAGUGAAAGACAUUGCCCCAGUAAAGGAAUUUCACUGAGCAUAUCCGGGUAUAACCAUGUGAAGACAUCAUUGAAUUCCUAGGGUAACUCAUAAGGUCUUGAUUUGCUUCUUCAGUCAUACAUGUUCCCUCAAGGUCACAGUCUUCAUUGUCUUUUCAUGAGGUAAAAUCUUCUUCCUGCUCUACCAUCCUUAAUAAAUCCAGAAAUAAGCUACGAUCCAUGUCAUCUUCAAAGUUGUGAGAUCCCUCUAAACACAUGUCUCACUCAAAAGGAGAUUCUAAAUUUGUAGCAGUGUCAUUCAUGUCAUUGAUAUUUGGGGACCUAUAGUGGGUACCAAAAAAAGAAUGUAUGAAUAAUAUAAAUGAACGAAUGAAUGAUUUGGCAGGAGAAAUCCAAUAGAAUGAAGAAAACGUAAAGACUGAAAGAACAUUUGCUCAAAGAUUAUUGCAAUAAUGUAUUCAUUAAAAAUAAUAAUGUUCAGACAUGAGUCUAUUUCACAAAGGAGUUCUUAUUGAUUUUAGGCUAAAAGCAACAAGUGUGUUCUGAACAUUACUCUAUCAAGCUCUAAAUAACAUAGGAGUUUCCUCUGCAGUCCCAUUAUUUAUAACACCUCCCAGGCGGAUAUCUGACCAGAACCCUUUUAAUUGCGUCUGCACAUAUGGCGUCGAUGUGAAAAUCUCAUCACUUCUCUACACAUCACACACCCCCCAUUAUCAAUCAUGAUUGGGUAAUGGACUCUCUGCACUUGAUGAGUCACCAAAUUUAACAACACCCAUGUCGAUGAGUCUUUCAACUUGCUUCUUGAAGGCAGUGUAAUUCUCAAUCGAAUGUCCCGUAGUUCCCGCAUGGUAUUCACAUUGCGCGUUCGCAUCAUACCAUUUGGGAUACGGAGGUUGUAGAGGCUUCACAAGAAAAGGGGAAACAACAUGGGCAUCAAACAGAUUUUGAUACAGUUUCCUAUAUGGUAUUGGAAUUGGCGUGAAUCGGGGCCUCUCUGUGUUUUGUCCUGUACUAGCUUUCUGUCUCGAUGAACCUUGCUGGUUAGCAGCCACCUUUCUUGGCUGACUUACCGUAACUGAUUUAGAGUAACCCAUGUUGUUCACCUCAUCUUCUCUUCUCCUUGAGACUGACCUCUUGUUACUCUCUCCAACAUCGAUCUUUCCACUUCUUAUGGCAUUUUCGAUCAUCUCGCCAUUCAUGAUUAUGUCGGGAAAGCUUUUUGUAGCACUCCCCAACAUAUGUGUAAUGAACGGUGCCUUCAGGGUGUUAAUGAACAACAUGGUCAUUUCUUUUUCCAAGAGCGAUGGCUGAACUUGGACUGCGACCUCCCUCCAUCUCUGCGCGUAUUGUCUAAAGCUUUCACUCGGCUUCUUCUCCAUAUUUUGAAGGGUGAUCCUAUCAGGAGCCAUGUCCGUCACAUGACUAUACUGUUUCAUGAAUGCUUGUGCCAAGUCCCUCCAUGAUCCAAUCGUGGCACGACUCAACUGAUUGUACCACUUGGAUGCUGCCCCAGUAAGGCUGUCUUGGAAACAGUGUAUCAAGAGUUGGUCGUUGUUAACAUAACCCGUCAUUCGCCUGCAGAACAUGGUGAUGUGAGCUGCUGGGCAGCUUGUCCCAUUGUACUUUUCAAAUUCAGGCAUCUUAAACUUAUGAGGGAGAACAAGGUCUGGCACCAAACUCAGCUCUUUUGCGUCAAUGCCCCGAUUACUUUCAGUGACUUCCAUCGCUUUAAACUUCUCCUCGAGCCACUUGCAUCGAUCGUCUAACUGUUUCGGUAAUUCCACCUUUAUUCUUUCCUUCUCAACCACUUCAUCAAAGUCAGGAAUGGCAGAGUUAACAUGAUUAUUUUCAAGAUUAGAACUCGGCCCAGUUUGGAGGUUCGAAAUACCAGCCCAAAACUGCUGAGGCAUGAUAGUGACAGUAGAUUUGCGCGGGUAUUCAGCUUGGGCUCGCGUAUGUGGAGGGGUGAAACCUAGAGUGUAAAGAAUUUCAUCAUCAUUUCCCUCAUCGACAUUUGCCAUGGGACCCUUUCCUUUAUCACUUCCCUUAGUUAUCAGUCGGGUUAACUUUUCCACUAUAUCCUCCUGAGAUUCCCGUAUCUUCUCAGACAUUUCUUGCUUCAUUUUGUCUAACCGCUCCUGCAUUUGUAGCUGAAGCCGGUCUUGCAUCUCCUUCUGGUACUGUUCGAGCUUCUCUAAUCUCUGAUCCAUAUCUUUUGUCUUUGCUCGAGUGCCGUAACGGUGCUUGGUAGGUUGGUUGGUUUCCAGGUUAACUGAGCAAUGAUUUUAAUUAAUUAGGAUCAUUUAGAGGUGUUUAAUGCAUAUGAUGCAAUGUGAUGCAAAUGCAUGAAAUGAAUGCCUAAAGAGAUGUUAACUUUGAUUCAAUUACAUUCAAAAAACUUUACUAGAAGACGAAUUUCUUUACAUAAAGUAGAUAUAUAUAUACGACUUUGCCCUCAUAUUCCAGUCGAAGACAUCUUCUCCUUCUCUAUCCGGAUGCUAGGAUAAACCUUGCGAAUUCUUCAAAAGGAACGUCUCUUCUACCUCCUGGGCUGUGACUCGUUGCUCCUUUAUCGUCGCGAUGCUCGUUGGCUUCCCUUAAAAAAAAGUUCAGCGGCUCUCGAAUAAUCUUCAUCUGUAAUGGCCCAAAUUCAAAAUUAUCGGAAUAGUGGUUUCGUAACCACAAAUCUGAUUUAAAGAAAAAUUUAUUUUAAUAUUUGUGCAUGAAUAUUGAUAUGAUAGGAAAAAUCGUAUGAAAAUAUAGAUAGAAAAAUUUUACUGAUUAAGUGGUUAGUUAGAAAAAGAAAUUAUUGAAGGAAUUAGGUAAAAAUAAGAUAUCGAGACUUUGAUCUAGUAAAACCGAGUCAAAAAUAUUUUUAUAAAUAUUUAUGAAGUGUUAGUAAUAUGGUAUUAAAAUUUCGUUAGAAAAUAUUAAUGUUUGGGUAGUCAAUUAAGUGAAAAGGACUAAAUUGAAAAAAAUGUAAAAGUUACUAGAGGGAUUAAAUAGCUCAAUUGUGAAAUGAGGAGGGAUAUAAAUUGCAAAUAACCUCAAAAGGAGAUAUUUUGGGCGGCAUACGCUGAGAAAAAUCAGGAGAAUUGAAGAAAUAAGGGUAAAAUUGGAAUAUUACAAAAUUUGCUUUAAAAGUUAGGACUAAAGUGGAAUUAUCUAGAUUUCUCUUUAAUUUUCUGCACUUUCAUCAGCCACAAACGUCCUAAGGGUUUCUUCAAGCUGGUUUUUCAUAAUUUUUGCACCAAGUGAGUUAAUUCUUGCCUUUUUCUUGUAAUUUUUGCGUUUCUAAGACUUUUACAAUUAGGUCCUAUUACUUAAUUCAUUAGUUUUUGAUUUUAUGAAUGAUAUUGAAAGUUGAUAUGAAUAUGUGCUGGAAGUUUAUGAGGAAAUAGGAUGAAAUUGAAGCUUUAAUUUGUUUAUGAGAUGAUUUUAUUAGGUAAUUCCAAUAGAAAUUGAUUUGUAGGACCUAAUUGUGAAAAAGUUUGGAAUUAAAGUUUAGUGCUGAAAUUCUUAUUUCCAAAGGUUAUAAGGUAGUUUAAAGUGAUAUAAUAAAGUGUUGAUUGAGAAAAAUUAGCUCAAUUGAGAGGUUAAUUGAGCAGGGACGAAAUUAUCAUUGUUGAAAGUUUAGGGGAAAAAUGGUAAUUAACACCAUGCACUAAAACAGUUUUGGACAGCAGCAGUACUUAACUUUGAAAAAUCACCAAAAAUUUUAGAGAUCGAAUUAGAGGAUGAAUAAAAUAUGAAAUUAAAGCUUAUUGAGUCUAGUUUCUUAUAAAAGAAACGGUGUAAGAAAUGGAAUUGUAAAUCAUGAGAUAUAAUAGAAUUUGUGAGACAAGGUCAGAAUGAAUUCGGGUUCCCCUGUUCUGACUUUGGAAAAUCAUUAAAAAUUGUAAAAAAACGAUUAUGAGUUAUAAUUUAUAUGCUUAGAAUCCUUAAUGAGUCUAUUUUCUGAGGAAAUAAAGGGAAGCAUCAUCCUAAUUCUGUACAGUGAGAUAAUUAAUUUUUAGUGAAGAGGGGUCAGAACUGUCAUACAGUGAAACAGGGGAAACUUUAAAGAAUAAACUGUACUUAUUGGCUAAACCAAAAAUUCUGAAAUUUUUAUGGUAAGAAGAUAUGUGAGUCUAGUUUCAGGAAAAAUUAACGGAUCUUAAUUUGGAGUUCUGUAGCUCAAGAUAUAAAUAAUUUAGUGACUGUGACUCAGUGAGGCAGCUUUGAAUGCACUAUAAAUAAUAAUGGAAUUGUAGAGAAAGUUACAUAUGAACAUGAAAUGUAUUAGAUUAAUGAUUAAAUUUAUUUAUUUAGAUCCGGAAAAUUCAAAUACGAAGCAAGAUCGAGGAAAAGAAAAAGUUCGGGAUUAGUAGAUUUUUGGUUACGAACAAGUGUCGAGGUAAGUUCGUGUAACUUGAAUUAUAUUCAUAAAUGCUUGAAAUGUUUGUUAUUGAUGUGAAUAUGAGUUGGAUGUUUGUUGUAUGAUAAUUGAUGAAGUAUUGAUAUUCUUGAUGAAAAGAGAAAAUAAAUCUCGGUUGAAUGAAAGGAAAAUUCGAUGGAUCUCUGAAAAGGAAUUGACGGUAAAAAGGAUCUAGCCCGGACGGGUGAUCCUAUCCUGAUAUAGCCCUCCCGAAGAAUAUGUGGAAAAUGGAUUUAGCCCGGACGGGUAAUCCGAAUUAGGGUCUGAAUUUAGCCUGGACUGGUAAUUCAGAUCCAAGCUCAUUAGAGUAAUUGUCGUUGCAGGGGAUUUAGCCUGGACUGGUAAUCCCGACAAUACUCUAUGAGUUUAUAUUACAGGGGAUUUAGCCUGGACUGGUAAUCCCGCUGUAAGGAUGAGGUUCGCGGGAGUGUGCUCUCUGAAAUAGAAAUGUGCGCACAUGAAUAUGAAUUGACGGACCCGGAUUUGUACACUUAGGUGUACCCCAGAAUAUCCAUCGAAAUUCCAAGUAGUUCAACGGGAUAAAUAUGGAAAAAUAAUAAGGAAAUGGAAAUCAUGGAAUUGAUGAGCUCAUCAAUCAUUUAUCUUUGUAAUGAAUUUGUAUGAGGUUGAGUUUGUAUGUGAUAGGUAUAUGUUUAUGUGAAUUGGAUGUGUGCUUGUGUUAUUAAAUGAUGGAUGUAUAAGUAUGGUAAGUAUAAUUCCUGUUACAUGAACUUACUAAGCACAAAGUGCUUACCCUGUUUCUUUUUCCCCUGUUUGUAGAGUUAAGAGCUCGGAAGUCGGAUUUGGUCGGAGACACAUCACACUAUCAAUCUCGAGAUCUCGGUACAUAAAGGAACUUUAUUUUGGAAAUCAAUGGCAUGUAUAAGCUAGUAAAUUAGAUGUUAAUGUGAAAUGAAUGUAUGGUUAGCCAUUGGUAUGGCUAACAAAUUUUGGUUUUGGUAUGUGAUGAAAUUAUCUUAUGAAUAUGAUAAAUCUAUCUUAAAAAAAAAAAUUCGGUAAAAUCUGGUAAUGCCUUAUACUCUAUUUCGGCGACGAAUACGGGUAGGGGGUAUUACAUCAUCAGCUUGAGUCUUCGGGCAACGGAGCAAUGGUUAUGUAGUCCUCCAUUAAACUAUCAUCUUCCUCUAGUUGUGUUUUCUCGGAACAUAUUCGGGCAACCGUAUUAUUUUCCACUUUAUCAAGAAACCCAUUUCCUUAUGACAAGCUCUCUAUUAACAACCGAAUGUGAAUCAACACCUCUUUUAUGAUGAAAAAUGCAAUGCAAUCAUGAUGUCAUGCAAUCAAAACAAAAUGCAACAAGUUAGUAUCGGGUAUAAACAUUAAAUCCAAUAUAAGCAAGAAAUAAUAAAAACUCCUAGUCAGGUAUCUCCUAAGGUUUAGAGUACUUCUACCUAAGGUAAGUUCCUAAAGCUCACUAUAUGAGGUUUAGUUUCUAGAGUAAAGGUACCCGAACCAGCAGAUUCCUCGAUCCUCACCCAUUAUAGGCUCAUGUGGAUCAAGUUUAGUUCAGGGGGAUACAUUUCCCUAUGGCUGCACGGAGAUGAAAAUCUCACGAAGACAUAGGUACGGAUGUAUCCCGGAAGCGAUCCACUACCCUGCACGGAGGUGAAAACCUCACGAAGGACUAGUUUCUCGCUCCCACUUAAAGGGUAAAAUGCAAAAUGCAAAUGCAGAGUUGCCAACAUACCAAAACUCAAUGAAUACGAAGGGAACUCAUGAAAUUUUUUUUAAAACACUUUUGAUUUUCGACACAAAGACAAAUAUAAUCGGUUUAUGGCUCGACUCUCCAACGUCCCCAGUGGAGUCGCCAAGCUGUCGAAACCGCUUUUUUGAAAAACAAAAAUUUGGUUGUCGACUUUAAAAAUAAAACUGGAGUCGCCACCGAUCCUUUAUUAAGGUGCGAUCGGCCCACCUUAAAAAUUAUUUUGGCCUACGAAUUUUGAGAAAAUGAGUUCGGGAGUCAGUUACGCACGAGGAAGUGUUAGCACCCUCGUAACGCCCAAAAUCGGUACCAAAUUGAUUAUUUGAUGUCUUAGUGUCGAAGGUUAAAAAGAUUUUUAAAACAACUCAAAUGAUGAAAUCUGAAAAGGAUACUCAAUUGUUCAAGUCAUGUAAAGAAAUCGAGUCCCAAUACGUUAGGGUACAAUUUCUCAAAAUUCUCGAACUUUGAAUAUCACUUUUAUUUUAUGCGAAAAUUUUCAUUUUGGGAAAGUAACAUGCCACACCCAAUACGUUAGGACAGGACAAGUUAAGUUCCCAAAAAUGAUUUUUAUUCUCAUGCAUUUUGAAUAAAGAAUAUUCCCAGCUUUUUAAGAUUGACAAAGAAAAUCAGAACCCAAUGCGUUAGGGCUCAAUUUUCCUCGGAAAUCCCAAACUUCGAAUAAUGCUUUUAUUAAAAAAACCUUUGAAUCAUGAAAAUAACUUUGAUAUACGGUUAAAACCAAAAUAUAUUUUCAAAAGGGUACAUUGAAAAGUUAAUGUACAAUAUGAUACAAAACUUCAAUUUAAAAUACAUGUAUAUAUGUGUCUUUUCAAAAUAUAAGUAUGAGACAUAAAUAAAUUUUGAAAACGUGUAUGAGCAUAUAUUAAAACGGGUAUAUAUAAGUAUACGUAUAUAUAAAAAAAAUGAAAUAUAUAAAACAAAACAAAAACCUAUUAUAAUUUUCUAAGAAAAUAUGCAUGUAUGUAUAUGUAUGCGAAAUUUAUGAAAAUAAGAUAAAAGUAUAAAAAUAUGUACAUGUGUAUAUAUUUACAAAAAAGUAUACAUAUAAAAUAUAAAGUAUAUAUAAAAAGUAAAUAACAAAAAUAAAAAAAACAUAGGUAUAAAAUAUAUGCAUUUAUUUAUAAAACUUUAAUAUAUAUAUACCUAUAUAAAAAAAACCCAUAUGUAUAUUAUAUAUAAAAAAACUAUGCGUAUAUAUAUAUAUGUAUAGAAAAUAUGAUAAUAAUCAAUAAUAAUAACUAAUAUAAUAAAAAUAAUUAAUUUUAAUGAUAAAAUAAUUAAUAACAAGGGACCCAAAUUGAAACUACAGGAAACUUUCAGGUAAACAUUUAAAAUAAUAAAAGCUGAAGACUAAUUUGUAGUGCCCUGGAAACAUCAGGGAGUAAACGAGCAAAUAUACCAGCCCCUUAUACGCAGCAUUUUCAUGUUGGACCAAAUUGAAACAGGAAACAGACGUGCGGUCAAAAUUAAAAAUAAAAAAAAUUGCAUUGAAGGUGACUCAAAAACAGAGGGACCAGUUGCGCAAAUUCCCCAUUCAGGGCCAGAACGCGCGGACCCUGCUUGCGGGUCGGGUCGACGCGCGGAUCUGGCCCCUUGCAAAACGGCGCCGUUUCACUCUUAUUAUUUAAAACAGUUUUCUUCUUUUUUUUUAAAAAUCUGUAGCCAACAAACAAAAAAACUUUUAACCCUCUGCUAGGUUUUUUUUUUAAAAAACUCCUUUUGUUUUUGUGCCGUCGCUCGUCGGCCACCGGAGCCCCGAUGACGGCAGAGAUGGUAGCAAACGGCGGCCCGAACACAGAGGUAAACUCCUCUUCACUCUCUUCUCUUUAUAAAUCAACAGUAAACAUGGAAGAAAAAAAAAUGAACGCCGAAAAAAAAAAACCACCUUUAUAUUCAAGAAAAGUUUGUAUUUUCCUUUCUUUUUCUCUGUAUUUUUCAGUGUUUUUGUGUGCACUCCUUUACACCGAAAAUCCCCCCUUUAUUCUCUUUACAAAUCGGUUUAUAUAUAACCGAAAAAUAUAAAAAAAAUGCAAAAUCAAAGAAAUAUUUUCUGUUAUUGCUGCACUUUCUGCCAUUUUCCAGUUUUUUCUCGCAGGUAUGGGCACUGUUGGGGAGUGCUCACGCUCGUGGAGGCGCAAAUCGCGCGGAGGGAGGACUCUGGCCCGCAUUGUGCGGCGGCUGGUGUUGCUGGAGGCUGCCAUUAAGGUUUGGGGUAUGGGGGUUGCUAGUUGGGCCAGGUUUAGGGUUAUUGGGCCUGUAUAUUUGGUUUUUUAGUGGGCCGGACAAUUUGGGCUUGUACAAUUACUUUUCCCAACAGAUAUCUUUGUCCUUUGCAACCAAAAAAAAAAAAAAAACAAAGAAAAACCAACCAUCCUAUUUUCUAAUUUAAAAAAAUAUUUUCCUUUUUGUGAAAAUAGAUGUUUUCGGAGUAUUGUUGAUUCAAAAGUAACAAAUUUUUCAACAAGUCGAUAUUUUUCUCUCAAUAUUUUCUAAAAGAAUGACAAUUUCAUAAACAACAGCCAUAUUCAUGCUAUUCAAAUGUAUCUUAAUAAAACCCUAUCAUCAUUGAUGUCUAAAAGGAAUUUUUUAUCCCAUUUAAAGCUAAAAGCAACUAUUUUUUUAAAAGCCAAAUUAGCUUUUCAAAACCAUCUUUUUUAAGUCAAAUCAAAAACUUCAAAUUUCGUUUUUACUUUUCUAAAGCUAGUUUUGAGUGUCUAAAUACAAUUUUAUCUCUCAUUUAAUCUAAAACUUUUAUAAAGUAUAGGGACUAAUAGCAGAAUUUAACCCAAAUUUUGUGAUAUUUGAUUCCUCUCCCAUUUUUCUAAUCCAAACAUAAAGUUAGAAAAGGGGAGAUUCCUAUGCUGCUCCAAAUUGUAAGGUUUAUAUCUUGUAGUGAAACAAAAUUACAAAAUUAUAAUUUUGUCAUGUGCCUUUGGAUUUUAAUUUUUUUUAAUAUAUGGUAGUAUUAUAAUUUCAUUAUCGAUGUAUAAAAAAAUAAUCCAACUAUAAUUGAGACCCAGGUAAAAAGCCAGAAAAUUUAUCUUAUCUUAUCUUUCUGCUCUUUUAAUCCUUUAAUGAUCUGUUAAUUUUUGAGAAAGGUACAAAUGAAAUUCUACGUGUGAGAGGAAUGUUAAACUAAGUCGUGAUUCUCUAAACUCCUGCAUGUAUUGCAAUUGAGGUGAUGGAUACAAUGAAUGUUUUGUAGAGUGUAAAUUCUUCUUCUUCUUCGAUUAAGGUUCAAUUUAUCACUUUGUAUAAGAUUAAGGGAAAGGGUAUGUAUGAGUAUAGCUUAAGAUUGUUUUUUUAUCCAUAAAAAAAAUGGUGAUCUAUUUUAUUUUAUUCUUUGCUUAAGGAUCGCGUGAUAUCCUUGAAAAAAAAAUAUAAAGUAGUAGGAAUAAAUCCCAAAAUUAUAUAUAAAUUAUGGUUUAAUGUGUAAUUGUAUACAUAAAAUUUUAAUUUGAUCCAAUUCUUCUAAAUUAUUAACACAAUUAUCGAUAUAACAUCAUUUUAUGUUUAUAUAUUGCAUACAUAAAUAAUUAUAUUCAUCGGAUAUAAAAAUAAAUUGAUAUAUUUAUUUCUUUAAAUGUGCAUGACUAAAUCAAAAUUGAAGUUUCAAGUAUACAUUUGAACCACAAUUAGAGUUUUAUGUGUAUAAUUACACCAAAUUAAAAUUAUGUAUACAAUUGCACAUUAAAUCAAAGUUCAUAUAUAAUUUUGAGAUUUAUCCUUAACUAAUAUAAAGAACGGAGAUUUAUUAGCGUAACUGUUUAUUUCAUUCGUAAAUCACUUAACUUUUCUUAUUGUUGUCCAUGAUUAUCAUUUUUUGUUCACAUUAGUACUAAAACUUUGUUAUUUUUCUCAAUUUGAUCUCUAAACUCAAAAUUUUUUAAGGUAUGAUGAUGUGACAUUAUGAGAUUAUGCAAUGUCAUCACUUGAAUUUUUUUAAAAGUUUUCUUUAUGGUUUCCCCCCUUAAAUUGGUUCAUUUUAUAAAAUUAUUAUUUUAAUAAACAAAUUUCAUGUUAGAAACUGAGAAAAAAAUAUUUACUUAUAAAUAUUUUUAUAAUUUUAUAUAUUUUUUAUAAUCUUAUGUAUUUUUAUCAAGAAUGAGCUUGUAAAUAGUUUUUUUAUGUUUUGAAGUUUUUUUACUUUUAAGAAUUAAGACUAAAUUGAUAAAAUGUGUGAAGUUGAGGGUUAAAUUUGUUAAAAUUUUUUAUUAUGCCAAUAAAAAGAGGCCAUUAAAGUGAUUUAAUGGAUGAGUGACCAAAAUAUUAAAUUUCAAUAACGUUAAUAACUAAAAUAGUAAUUUUUAAACCUGCGUAAACCAAAACAAAAAUAUGCUAGUAAUUGGAUGUCUAUUUUUAUAAUUUACCCAUAAUAAUAUUAAAUGCAAGAUGCAAAGGUAAAAAGAAUCCAAUUAAAUUAUCAUUUUUUAUGAAACCCAAAAAUACAAAAUUAAAAGACUAAAAAAGAAAAUAAAUAAAAUUAUUAAUUUUUGAGAAGGAUCAUCUAAAAGGGGUGAAGUGCACUUACAUGUUCCCUCGAUAGUCUAUGAUUUGAGAGGAGUUAGACGUAAAUUAUUCUGGUUCUUUGAAUAAGAUUCAAUUAAUCACUUUGGAUGGAUUAAGGAAAAGAGUAGCUAUGGAGAUUGCUUAAGAUUGUUUUUCAUCACUUUGAAUCAUUCUUUACUUCAAGUCGAACAUACUUUACAACUAAUUUUUGCAAUUUUCAAAUAAAUGAUAGUUAGUGGUUCAUGUCAUUUUGCAACUCUCCUAUUUUGUUCAUCACUUUCAUUACUUAAAAGAGUACUAUAUAAUAAUAAUUCUUCACUUCACAUGGCAGCUGGAACAGGAAAUAUUGAUGCCUUUUACGCUCUAGUUCGAGAGCAUCCAUACAUGUUGGAGCAUAUUGAUCAGAUUCCUUCCAUCGAUACUCCACUUCACAUAGCAGCAAAUGAAGGCCAAAUUAAUUUUGCAACGGAGAUGAUGAACUUGAAGCCUUCAUUUGCUCGGAAGCUGAACCAAGACGGGUUUAGCCCCAUGCACUUGGCGUUCAGAAAUGGGCACCCCAAGCGAAUGCUUCGACUGUUGAAAAUCGAUAAUGAUCUGGUUCGCGUCAAAGGAAGGCAAGGGAUGACCCCAUUCCUUUGGGCUGCCACAGUGGGGAACAGGGAUUUAAAUUGCGGUCGCAUUGCGUUUAUCGUGGUUGCGGGCAUAACGGAUGCUAUUGCGGUUAUUGCGAGUAUCGAGGUCGUGAAUUUUAAAAAAAAUUCACACAACUUAUUGUAAAAUAUAAUAGCAGUUUCGGACGGUGCCGCUACCGCUAUUUAACGGCGCUAUUUCGGUAACGGACUGCUAUUUAAAUCCCUGGACUGGACUGGGGAACUCUAAUCUUUUAUUCCAGUUCCUUGAAGCUUGCCCUGAAUGCAUGGAAGAUGUGACGGUUCGAAACGAGACUGCAUUAAGCUUCGAAAAACGACCACAUCGGAGCUUUGAAUCUCUUGAUUGGAUGGCUUCAAAGGAACUGUCGUGGAGGAGCCUUUGAUUUGUCAGAAAAGGUUGUAAAUUGGAGAGAUGAAUAUGACAACACUGUGUUGCACAUUACAGCUAAAAAGGAACAAUAUGAGGUAUCUGCAAUGCAACUAUAUUAUCGUUUACUUUUGGGGUUUGAAUUUCUUUUUGCUGCCGGUAUUUAUCUGAUUGUGAUAAGUUUGAUUCUUUUGGUAGUGUUUGUAAGAGGAAUUUGGAUUUGACUUUCUGUUUUAUAAAUUCAUUAUUUCUAUUUUUUUUUGUUUGGAUUUUUUUGUUUAGAUGACUCAAAUUUAGAUUUGAGAUUCAACGACUUAAUUUUUUUAAAAUUUCAUUAUCAAGGAGGAUUUUGAAUAAAAUUGUCUGAACCCGACCAGUUAGAUCGAGAACUAAUUAAUGUAUUGAUUCAGAGAAAGACAUUAAGUCGAUUGAAUUGGACAAAAAACCCCUUGAUCAAGUAGUUAAAACAGACAUUUUUAUUUUAUGAACCUUUAAUGAUUUAUUUAAUAAAACUGAACUGAUAGGUUAAACUAUCAAUUUGAUCAUUAGUUUUCAUAAUAAAGUGGAAAACACAUUUUAUUCAUUCAAAAUCUAGGUUUUCAGAACCAAACUAUAGUGGUCAAACCUAUCAAACUGAUUGCUUUUUCCACUUUGUUUCAUUAAGUCGAGGUUUUCAAAAUAAGUAGUUUGAUCGGUUUGACUAUUAAUUUGAUUAUGAAAACCUUGAUCUUGAAUGAAUAAAAUGAUUUUUCCACUUGGUUAGGAACAGUAGUUUAGGCUAAAACUAAUUGGUGUUUGUAUAUUAUUUGAAAGAGUUUUUUUUUCUGAAAGAAUGUAACUUUCUGUUUUUAUAUUUUUAUAAGUUUUUGGGUUAAAAUAUUAGAAAGGACUCUCAAUUUUAUUGUAUUAUUUAUAUUUUGUUUACACUUAAAUAAAAUCAUAUAAUUUGAUUUGUACUUAAAUAAAUGGACUUAGAUGUAAAUUAAGAGUCGAGGGUUUAUAAAUUAAAAUCGUGAAAAUUAUGGUAUAAAUGAAAAUUUUAAAUAUUUAUACUGUACUAAAUUAAAUGCAUUAAGCUUCGUCACUGUUUUCAAAAUUGGACUGGCUUGUCAAAUCGAUUGGAUCGUGAACCAACCGGGAUACCAAUCCAGAAUAAGGAGUCACACCAGUUGAACCGAUCGGAUCAGUCGAUCGGAUUAGUCAAACUGGUCGGUUAAAUCAACGAUCGAAUAGAUUGAACAAAUUUUCUCUAUUUUUUAAUAUUUUUAAUAAUUUAUUAAAUUAAAUUGGUCGAAUCGAUUGAAACAGGAACCUGUGGUCUAACUGAUUCGCUCAUCAUUCUAGUUCUAAAAACCUUGAAUUUUGUUGAUGAUAUAUUUUAAGUAAAAUUAAUUAUUUAUUAUUUAGGUGUAAAGGUAGUGUCAAAGAAGAGGCUACAAAAAAAUUUGUUUUUUUAAUAAAUUUAAGUUUUAAAAAUUUCAAAUUUUAAAAUCCACAAAUUUAACUCGGAUUUGCACGAACUCAAAUCCAAUUUUUUUUUUUUUUUUUGUUAUGAAAUUAGAUUUACGUUUCCAAAGAGUGGAUUUGAUAAUUGUAUUAAUUAUGCAGGCACUGAAGCUGUUGUUAUAUACCAAUGUUGGGUUACAUGUAACAGCUAAGAACUCGGAAGGUUUGAUGGCUCGAGAAAUCAUAGAAAAUGUUGAAAGAAAAGGCUUGAACAUGAGUGGUGAAGAUGAUGACACUGCCGACAAGAUUAAGCGCAUUAAGAAAAAACUUGAUACCCUAGAACUAAUAUUAAUAGUGUUAAUUCGUGCAAGGAAUGGAUUGUCGGAGAACAUGAUCAACGCAACGCUGGUGACUGUGGCACUGGUUAUAACAGCAGUCGACCAAUCAUCUUUCAGCCCACCCAGAGGUGUUUGGCAAGUUGAUAACAACAGUAUCCCCACCACCACCUCAAACGUUACUACUACUGCUCUUCAAAUCUUUGACGACAAUUACAAUAACUCCAGAUUCAAACACCUGUUGGGUCAAGAAUCAAGGAAAACAGGUACAACAAUCAUGAAUCCCGACUUGUAUUCAAUGUUUUGGGUUUGUAAUCUCCUGACAUUUGAGCUUCCGCUCCUCUCCAAUGUUCCUUCUUUUCUUCUCAUCCCGCUUUAUUAUCUAAGCGUCUCCUACUUUUACUCGAUGACACUAAUAUCCCCGUCGUGGUUCUGGGAAAACGUCAAUUAUAUUCUCACGUGGUUAGCCAUUCUUCUCCCACUUCGCUUACUUCGCUUAAUCAUACGACUACUUAUGUCACCAGCUUACAAGGAGUACAUACGCUUACAUAGAGCUGUUACUAGAGCCAACAAAGUCGGGAUCAUCCAACCCUUGCUAAGGGGUAAUCUAGUUGAUAUUUUAUUAUGUCCUUGAUUUUUUUUUUAAUUGAACUUCUUUUUCUUUUUGUUUAUGUAAUUGCUUGGGAUAAAUUUAUGAAUAAAAUUACUUUGGUUAAACUACAUCAAUAGUCUUUUAAUUUUGUUUAUAUUUAUGUUUCAAUCACUAAAUUUUUAAAACUUAAAAAUUUAUUAUUAAUGUUAUCGGAUUGUUAUUAGGAUAAUACGGGUUUGAUGUGAAACGUUAAAUAUGCCAUAUGUUUAAAAAAAUUUCCUUUCUCUCCUUUUUCGGAUAUUAAAAUAUUUCUUCUUUUCACCUUAUCCUCUCUUCUCCUUCUUUCUCCACCAUUAAUGGUCUCACCAUCUUACUAUUGCCAGUACUCACCAGUCACCACUAUCAACAAUUUCACCAUCUCACCACAACCAAACAUGAACCAACAAACCGACUUUACCCAUAAUAAUACUCAAUAUAAGGUGUUUUUAUCUCUUCCCUUUAUGAAUAUAAUUGGUUCGAUUUUUUGGUUCAAACAAUCAACACUCUAACAGUCAAUAGACUGUGGGAUAGAUCACGUGCAAAACCAACCUAACCUAUGAGUAUAUCCAGAAGAGAAAAAUUAUACAAGUCCAACUCCCCCACAAGUUGCCAAUCGGCUCAUCCACCUUCGAAUUGAUUGGUGCAAUUGGAAUUACAUUGCCAAAUGAAAUACAUGAAGUUCAAGUGCUGACCAUCUACUAGAGGUGGACCAAGUAAAGACCAAUAUUCCAGUGUUGAUUCUCCAAGGCCCUCGAAGAGCCACCAACGCUGACAUCGCCUCCAGACUUGAUUGUUAUUAUUAUAUUCUUUUCAAAUUAUUUUAGUUGUUGUUUAGAAUGGAUCGUGACUAAUUUUUAUUAUGUAAACAAGUUUUGAAUAUUUUAUAUGAUUGAGAGAUUUGUAUGGAUGAUUAUAUUGAAUUUAGAGAGCAGUUAAAUUAUUCAAGUGAAAAAAGUUAUUUUGUAAUAGUGCAUUUGAUUGUAAAAUCUUUUUGUUGUGAUUUUAUAGGCUAAGUUCUCAGGUGAUAGAUCUAGUCUUCAAGGUACAAGAGUAAUUAAGGAUUUUAAACCGGGAUGUGUUAGAAUUAUGUUCAAUGGUUGUAAUUGUUGAAAAAUAGUGGAUUCUUCUCAUUGAAUUAGGCAUAGUAGGCAUAGAGAAAUUGAAUUGCGUCAACAACCUUGUUAUCCUCUAUUUUAAUUUUGGUAUCACAAUGCUUGCAGAAGUACCCACCUCUGCAAUCACUUUUGCUCGUAAUUGCGUAAAUAACAUUGUUAUCCUCUUUUUUUGCCAUUGUUUUUAUAAUUUAAAAACUUUUUUUAUAACUUUAAAAUGUAAAUUUUAGGAUUUUAGAGCUUUUUGAUGUUUUUAGAUUUUUAAAAAACAAAAUUUAGAAUUAUUGUUUAAAAAAUUUUAAAAGUAUGAAAACAAUAUUUUUAGUUAUAGUCAAUUUUGUUAUUAACCCUUUGAAUUAGCGUGUCACAAUCCUCUUAACAGGAGUUAAAGGAUGGGUGACCAAAAUAUAACAAUUUAAUAACGGUAGUAACUAUGACAUAAAUUUUGAAAGUUAAGCGACUAAAAUAUAAAUUUGAAGUUUUUUUUAGGAAUUAUUGUUAUAAGUUGCCCUAAUUUUAAAUUGAAUGAGAAAAAGAGGUAUUAGUUAUAGAAAGCAGUAGAAUGACAGACAACAAGCAUCUAUUUUUAUUGUUGGUUUAAUGGCUAUGAGUAUUCGUACUUGAUUUAUGUCAUAAGUUCCAACAAAAGAUAUAAAAUAAAUGAAAAAAGAGUAUCAAACAAAUCAUAUAAAAACAGGUUUAUAAUUCGUAUUUUUCACGAUUAAUUAUGUACGUGUUUUUAAUUUAAAUUUUAUUCUUUAUUCGAUAUGAUUGGACAGCAUAUAAUUACUGUAGUAACUAAAAAAUGACUAAAUCCCUAAACAUGUUUAAUUGUAAUGUAAAUUAUGGUUUCAGUUUAAGAAACCAGCUUCCAUAAAUAAAAAGACUGGUUGUUUAUUGAGCCACUAGAAGAGGCGGCAGAGGAGGAGUCGCCUAAAAUUGGAAAUAAAAUGAUUUAACGUCCUUCUUUCUCCUUUGAAUAUUCCAAGCUGUCCAUUAGUUUGACUAGUAAAGUCUAUAUGAAGUAUGGAUAUUAUUCCAAAUCAUCAACUUUAUCCACCAACAUAGUUGAGCUAUUAACACGUGUCUAUUUAUUUGCAUAAAUCGAGCCAAUGGUUUUGGAAUACUUUCUAUGGGAAUGGGUAUAUCCUUUUUUUGGGGUCAAAUAAAUCUGAAUUACUAUUUUGGUACAAAAUAAUUGAUAAAAAAUUUAUAAUUUAAAAAAAGAAAAGAAAAGAAGUAACAAAUGUUAUAAAUGUUCCAUAUCUUCAAUUAUUUACCUCAAAAUUUGUUUUAUGAUCAAUUUUUUUAAAAUUAAAUAAGAUUGAUUAAAAAUAUUCACCAUAUAAUUCAAAAUUUUAAACAUUUUAUUUUCAAACUCGUAUUCCUUAAUAAAUAAUAUAUUUUAAACUAUCUUGUUAAUACUAAUUUCUUGAUAAAUAUGUUUUUAAAUUAAUUACUUUUUUUUUCAAGAUUAUCUUAAAAUUUUUUAAGUUUGUGUUUGUUUAAAUAUUGAAAUAAUAGUUGGUUCACUACUCGUGUGGAGUUUUUAAAUUCCACAAGCAAGAUUAAGGUUGCCUGUAAAAUAAAAAAAAAAAUUUUUAAAAAGAGACAUUUGACAAUUUUUUAAGGUUGCUUGUGAUGGAAAAUGAAUCACACCGCGUUUUUUUUUUAAUUAAGUGUUAUAGUCGGUUUGUUGACUCCUAUUUUUUAGCAAGACUGUUAGACAAAUAAGUUUGUCUAAUCUUUAUGGGGUUAUUCUAUUUUCAUUAGUCUGUUAGUGGAGGAUCUUACUUCCACGAUUUAAUUGCAUAAUUGUUGAAGUUAACGAUAGUGAAUUGAUUUUGAUUAUCUUCCUCUCUUGUGUUAAGUAUUCCUUUAAAGUUUGUCAUCAAUGGUAUUAGAGCCAGGUUUAGCGUGUUUUGUAUUGUGUUCCAAAUACGAUGUCACAACAUCCGAGUGAUUUUAUUAAAUUUGUUCAACCUGCUAUUCCUUGCUUUGAUGGUCAUUAUAAUCAUUAAUGGAGCAUGUUAAUAGAAAAAUUUUUAAGGUCAAAAGAAUAUUGGUCUGUCGUUGAGGAUGGAAUCCAAGAGUUGGAAGUUGGAACCAGUUUGACAGAUGCACGGAAGAUGGAGACUAAAUUCUUAGAAAUAACAGUAUAUGGACUAAUUUUUAAAUUUGUAAAAAGUACAAGGACUUAUGAUAUAUUUUAACAUUUUAUUAUGUUUAUACUAUAAUUUAAUUUGAAUAUUUGUUAAUGCCAAAAUGAUAAUAAUAACAUGACAUAAUAAUUAUAAUGAUGAUGAUGUGUGAAAAUAAAAAUACUUCACAUUUAAAUUGAUUAUAAUUUAAAUUUAUAUAUUUCAUAUAUCAUAAUAUUAAUGAAUUUGAGUUUAUAUAUUCUAUAUAUUAUAAUAUUAACAAAUUUGAGUUUUUUUGUAUUUCUUAUUCAUUUAGUUUUAAUUUUAGAAGUGAUUUCAGGGAUGGUUUUGACCUCGUCCUCUCCAGUUUAGUAGAUAUUCGAUUCUUUUCCCAAUUUUAUCUACUACUUUAGAUCAUUCAAGGUUAAUUUUCUCAUAGUGUUAAAUGUUUGCAAUCACUCCAAAUAAUCAUACUUGAGUUGUGAUGGAGACGAUUGCUAACUUGCUAUAUAUUAUCGAUUUUAUAGCGUAAUAUUUAAAAGUAAUUUUUUACCGCCAUACUAAAAAUUUUAAAUAUUUUAAGAGUACAAUUUUUAAAAGCGAAGCUGGUCAACUUGCCCUAAAGUAAAUGGCGAAAAUGCGUCGAAAUUAUAUUGAAGUGAGAAAUGGGGAGUGGGAGUCAAGAUAUUGAUGUCUGUAAUAGGCGGCCAUCGAUUCAUAUCCGUCAUUAGAUAUAAAUAUAUUAAUCAUUUUUUAAAAUAUUCGAUAUUUUUAUGCAAUAUAAAUAUACCCUUGAGGGAUUAGUUUAGUGUCAGAUUGAGCUAAAUCAGUUGAGGUUUCAAAUAAGGAUAGUAAUUUUGCAACUCUCCUAAUUUCUUCAUCAUUUAAAGAAAGAAACAAAAGCAUGGAUCCAAGCUUGAGAGAAAUAGCUGGAACAGGAAAUAUUGAUGCCUUGUACUCUCUCAUUGGAGAGGAUCCAUACAUGUUGGAGCAUAUUGAUCAGAUUCCUUUCAUCGAUACUCCACUUCACGUAGCAGCAAAUAAAGGCCAAAUUAAGUUUGCAAUGGAGAUUAUGAACUUGAAGCCUUCGCUUGGUCGGAAGCUAAACCAAGAUGGGUUUAGCCCCAUGCACUUGGCCUUCAAAAUGGGGCAUACCAAGCUAGUGCUUCGACUGUUGCAGACCGAUAAAGACCUGGUUCGCGUCAAAGGAAGGGAAGGGAUGACCCCUUUCCAUUGUGCAGCUGCAGCGGGGAACUCUAAUCUUUUAUUCCAGUUCCUUGAAACUUGCCCUGAAUGCGUUGAGGAUGUCACGGUUCGCAACGAGACUGCAUUACAUCUUGCUCUGAAAAACGACCACACCGACGCUUUUAAUUUCUUACUUGGAUGGCUUCGAAAGAACCGUCGUGGAGGAGGCAAGGAUUUGGAAAGAAAGGUUGUGAAUUGGAGAGAUGAUGAUGACAACACUGCGUUGCACAUUGCAGCUACAAAGCAACAACACCAGGUAUAGAUGCAUUAUAAUGAUAAGUUGCGUAUAUUCCUUUGAUAAUCUUACUAAUGACUGUUUAUAAUAUUCUACGCAGGCAGUACAACUGUUGUUGGAUUCCUUUUAUGGGUUAGAUGUAAAAGCUAAGAACUCGGAAGGCUUGACAGCUCGAGAAAUCAUAGAAAAAGUUGGAAGACAAGGGUUGAACAUGAGUAGCGCCGAAGACGAUGAUAAGACCACCGCCAAGAUUAAGCGCAUUAAGAAAAGAACUAGUCGGUCUGAAAGAGCAUUAGUAAGGUUGAUUCGUACAAAGAAUGGGUUGUCGGAGAACAUGAUCAACGCAACACUGGUGGUAGCGGCGCUGGUCAUAACAGCGAUCUACCAAUCAUCUUUAAGCCCACCGAGAGGUCUUUGGCAAGGUGAUAACACGAGUAACCCCACCACCACCUCAAACCUUACUACUACCACUAAAUUUAAACUCUUUAACGACAAUUACGCUGAAAAACUUUCUAAACAUGUGUUGGGUGAAGAAACAAUGAAACCUGGUACAGCAAUCAUGAAUCCCAACUUGUUUUUAGGGUUUUGGUUAUUCAAUUUUAUAGCAUUUGGGCUUCCGGUUCUUCUAACCGUUUUCCUUUUAUACGAUGUAGCUCGUAUUCUUCUUCUCCCGCUUUAUUUUCUAUCCGUCUCCUACUUUAACUGCAUGACAAUAAUAUCUCCGUCCAUGUUUUGGGCAAACCUCAACUUUGUUGUCAUGUGGACAGCCAUUAUUCUCCCGUCUGUCUUAGUUUUUGGAGGCGUAUGGUUAUGUAUGCUGCCAAAGCACCGGGAAAUCAGACAAAUACGCAGACGUGUCCGCAAUGACAAUAAUAUCGGAAUAAUUCAGUACUUGCGAAUGUCAGUCUAACUUAUAUAUUAUAUUUAUGUACCCUUUUCCAUUUUCUCUGUAUUAAUAUCUUUUCUUUUUGAAAAAAGAAAAAACACUAUGUAAUUGCUUUGGAUAAAUUUAAUAAAAACAGAUAUAUUUGAAGUAUUGUUUGUUUAAAAUCCACUGAUUUCUAAAUGUGUUAAUAUCAUUUUCGAGUUAUUAAUUAAAAAUAUCUUUAACAUAAAGAUAUAUGUAAUAAUUACAUACUUAUUAUUUUAUCUAUAUAAUAAAAAAGUUAUUGAUUAAAAAGAUGAAUUAAAAAAUUAGAAAAUAAUAUAUUUGUUAAUUAAAAAGUACUAUUUUUUUAAAAAAAUAACAUGAGAUAAAAAUAUAAAUAUGCGUAGGAGAUGUCUCAAAAAUAAAAUGACUAACAUUUAACUAUUUGAUCAAAUGAAUUAAUGCGUCAAGUUAUUAAAAAAUAUAUAUUUUAUCCUACAAGAUGCAUUUUACAAAAUCAACUUAUUUCUAUAAAUAUUAAAAAAAUCUACCUAAUACUCUAAUUAUUUUCUAAAAAGGACAGAUAUUGCUAGUGUACCCUAAAACUAGGAUGCGCCACGCUUUCUAAAGCAAAUAAUAAUAAUACAUUAAUCUAAAUUUCAUGAGCCCUUUUCUUAAUUCUAAGAAAUAAAAUCUCUCAAAUAAAAAUAAUACAUAAAAUAAUCUUAAGUCUCGUAUGCGAAAUUGAGUUUUUGUGUCAAAUUUGUAUAUUCGUUAUAGAAAUGAUAAAUUAAGUAAAAUUCAUGUCCAAAAUUAAUUAAAAUAAAUAAUAAAAAUAUAUUAUCAUCUAUAUUUUAUAAUAUUAACUAUCAUUUAAAUAUAUAUUGUCUACUUUAUAACAUAAAUAUUUUAUCUUUUAAAAAAUACUCUUCUUCUUCUUUUUUACAAACAAAGACUGGACAUAUUUAUUGAAGUAAUACAACAAUGAGAAUAAAAAACAAAAACCAGCCAAAUAAAUAUAAACCCUAGGACUUAAAACAUUUUUCAUCUAAAAACAAGAAUAUUAAAAUACUGAAAAACCUCCAAAUUUACCGUUAUCUACAUCCAUUACUAAUCGUAGACGGUGACAAAGACAUUCGACAGAUGAUAAGCAUUAAAAAUUACUCUUUUAACUACAAUACUAAAAGCGUCCGCAAACCAUUUUUCAAUAAAGAUAUUAAUCAAGCCGGAUUAAUUUAGAGUUAAAUCGAGUAAGUCUAAGGGUGAAUUUGGAUGGGUGAUUGGGUGCUGUGCGGUACGUUUAGUUUACUUUUUGUCUCACGCUAUAGUAUCGCUACAGUAUCUAAUCUUACCGCCAUCGCUAUUUUUACACUAACCGCAGGUAAAUCCACCGCCCAUCCAAACUCACUCUAGAUUAAGUCCGUAGAUGAAUUUCCACAUCUUUUUUUAGGCAUUAAAUUGAGAGCCAAUCAAACCUUCCCCUAAUUCCCCUUACCAAUCUAUAAAAAAUUGGAUCUUUGGUUUGAUUUUAUCAAUAAAAGAAAUUCCUUCCUCGGUUUCUUAAAUUUGAUAACUUUUAUCAUUAUCAUUAUUUUGUUCACUUUUCAUCAAUAAUGAGAUCAAUUGUUUCGCUAAUAGAAUAGAAAAUAGAUAGUUACUCAAUAUUAUAAUGGUACCAUGUGUUUUUAUGUUUUUAAUUUUUAAUAUAAUUAAAGGAUGCAUUGUAAUGUAAAGAAUAAUAAUUCUAAUUAUCUAUGCUUAAAAUUAAUUCAGUUGUGCUUUCAAUCAAUGUAUGAUUUUGAUAUUGCAAGAGGUGUCCAGCUAUGUGGUGAGAUCUUGAAGGUGUGUCUUUGUAACAACUUGAGAAGCUUUUUGGAUUUUUUUUCUUCUUCUUUUAGGUUUAUUAUUAGUAAAUGAAUUUUUGCUGCAAAAAAUUAGCUUAAAAACAAAAUAUAAAAAUGAUAGGAAAUAUGUUAAUUUUAUACAACGACAAUUAAUGACAUUGCAAUAUAUUACUUAACAACAUGAACAAUCCCCACCAUCGUAUUGUCAUUCCCAAGUAAUGGCGUAUUCUCUUUACUUGGAAAAUAUCCCUCCUAACGCUGGCCGAAAUUGGUUGAAACAUUAUGCAGCUCAUUUGGUAAGAUAAUGGACGUGUUUAUUGCAUCAAAAAGAAAUAGAAGAGGUCGUCGGUUUUGUUUCGUUAGGUAUGGUAGGUUGGAAGAAGCAAAGAGAGCAUUGUGGAGUCUAGAUGGAAGGUGGUUCUCUAAUCAUAGAUUGACAGUCAGUAUGGCGAAGUUUAAACCUAGAGAUGAUUUGUGGAGGAAGGCAAAUGGGAGAGAGGUCAGACAACAUACAUAGAAUAUGGAAAGAAGAUGUGUUGAAGGAAAUACGGGGCCGCAUGCAAGUGAGAUUAUGGCAAAUAAUAAACAACAUGAAGAAAAUGACCCAAUCAAGUUGGACGAGAUGGUGGAAGAUUUAUGAAUUUCCAGAACAAAGUAGUAGAGGGAGCCAUUGAUGGAGAGAACUUGAAGUGGCUUGAAAAAUGUAUUGUGGGUAGAAUGAGAAACAAUGCUACUGUGGGGUUAUGGGGUGAUACUGGAAUUUAUAAAAUUGGAGUCCAAAGAUUAUCGGGUAAUGAUUUGUAUGAAUUGGAAGCCAAUGAAUGGGGAGAUGUUUUGCAAGUGUUUCAGAAAGUUGAACGGUGGACAACAAAGAUGAAAGAGUAAGGUGGUUAUCCUGUUACGAGAUUCCAAUACAUGGUCUUCGAGGAGGAAGUAGUUAAACAACUUGCUGCUAUUGAAUAGUAAAAUUGGUUUGAUUUAUUAUUUUUGGUGCAAACAAUCAACACUCAAACGGUCAAUCGGCUGUCGGGUAGAGCACGUGCAAAACCAACCUAGCAUAUGAGAAUAUAUCCAAAAGAAGAAACUUAUCCAAGUCCAACCCCCCACAAGUUCCCAGUCGGCUCAUCCCAUUGACCUUUCCACAACUUCGAAUUGAUUGGUGCAAUGCGAGGUCCAAUAUUGGAAGGAGAAUGGAAUCUUAACCGUGGGACCACACUUAAGCCGGCGUCCUAAAUGAUUAGAUGCGUGGAAGACGGUGGGUAUUCUUUCACCCAAUAACAUCACUACAUAUACACAAACCAUGUCUGCCCAUCUAGUGGGCUACUUGUGAUAAAACAGGAAAGCAAUGAAAAAUAAUAAUAUAAAGAAGAGAAAAACAAAAUCCUACACCUAAUAUAAUUUUUCCUAAAUACAAGAAAACAAGUUUUGGGAUAGAAAAUCAUAUCGAAGAUUAAACGAUUCAAUUCAUUUAGAUUUGAACGUUAAUUAAAUGAUUAAACAUUCAAAUCUCGUUAAAUUCAUGAACACAAUUUACAAGCUUUUUAUUAGUUAGAAUAUUCUCUAAUGCUUAAACGGUAUCAAUUCAAUCGAUUUAGUUCUUUUAUUAAGAACUAAGAACUGUCAGAGACAUUUUAAAAGGGUUACGUAUAGCAUGGGAGAAAAAGUUUUGUCAAUUAGAGAUUAAGAGAUUGAUUGCAGAGAUGAUUGCAGAGAGAGGAGCAGUUGAUAGUUAGUUGAUGGAAUUACAUUCUAUUCAUGGAAUGAUGCAUUGAGAUUGAAAGAUUUGUUUUCGACAUAUCCCAAGAACUCACAAGAUUAUAGCGACAAGAUUCACUGAGGUCCAAGUAUUUAAAAAUCCACUUUAUUUUGUACAAGAUUUAGAACAAGCAGAUUACAUUAGCGUUACACAGACUAAUACGUUAUCUUAAUAGUAUUAUUUUAAUUUACGAAAAUAAUAAUAAUGGAGCCCAUGCAUGGUUUUGGAAUCUUUUCUAUGUCACAGCUCUGGGGAUGGGGUCAAGACACAACUAUCCUUUUUUGAGGUCAAAUAAAUCUCAAUUAGUUUUUUUAACCCUCUGUAUAUUUAUCUAAUAAAAUUUUGAUAUAAUAUUUUCCACAUUUCAUAAUGAUCGAAGAAGUGUAAAAAAAAAAAGUUGAUAAAAAGUUUAUAAUUCAAAAUUGUUCCAUAUCUUGGAUUAUUUACCUGAAAAUUUGAUAUGUUAUAUAAAAAUUUAUUUUAUGAUCAAUAUAUAUCAAGAAAAAAAAUUGAUUAAAAAUAUCCACCAAAAUGAUAAGAAUGUACAUAAUUCAAAAUUUUAAACAUCUUAUUUUUAAACUGAUAUUCCUAUGUAAAUUAUAUAUUUUAAAAUAUGUUUUUAAUACUGAUAUUUCUUAAGAAAUUUGUUUCUAAAUUAAAUACUUUUUUUUUCAGAAUUAUCUUAAAAUUUUUGAAAUUUAUGUUUGUUUAAAUAUUGAAAUAAUUUUUGAUACGCUGCUUGUGGAAAAAGAUUGACAAAAAAUAGUAAAAUAUUAAAAAAAGGACACAUACUACCAAUACACAAAAUAUAUUAUCUAUUUUAUAACAUAUUACUUAAAAUAAAUAUUUUAUUUUCACAACAAUACUAAAAAUAUAAAUUUUAGAGUAAAAAUUUUUGAAAGCGAAGCUGGUCAACUUGCCUUUAAACAAGUGGCGAAAAUGCGUCCAAAUUAUAUCAAAGUGAGAAACAGGGAGUGGGAUUCAAGAUUUUGUCGUCUGUGAUAGGCGGCCACCGAUUUAUAUCCCUCAUCAAAUAUAGAUAUAUUAAUCAUUUUUUAAAAUAUUCGAUAUUUAUAUUCAAUAUAAAUCUACCCUUGACGGAAUAGUUUAGUGUAAGCUUGGUUUAAAUCAGUUGAGGUUUCAAAUAAGGAUAGUUUGCAACUCUCCUAAUUUCUUCAUCAUUUAAAGAAAGAAACAAAAGCAUGGAUCCAAGCUUGAGAGAAGUAGCUGGAACAGGAGAUACUGAUGCCUUGUACGCUCUAAUUCGAAAGGAUCCGUACAUGUUGGAGCAUAUUGAUCAGAUUCCUUUCACCGAUACUCCACUUCACAUAGCAGCAAAUGAAGGCCAAAUUAAGUUUGCAAUGGAGAUGAUCAACUUGAAGCCUUCGUUUGGUCGGAAGCUAAACCCAGACGGGUUUAGCCCCAUGCACUUGGCCCUCCAAACGGGGCAUACCAAGCUAGUGCUUCGACUGUUGAAGACCGAUAAAGACCUGGUUCGCGUCAAAGGAAGGGAAGGGAUGACCCCUUUCCAUUGUGCAGCUGCAGUGGGGAACUCUAAUCUUUUAUUCCACUUCCUUGAAACUUGCCCUGAGUGCGUUGAGGAUGUCACGGUUCGUAACGAGACUGCAUUACAUCUUGCUCUGAAAAACGACCACACCGACGCUUUUAAUCUCUUACAUGGAUGGCUUCGAAAGAACCGUUGUGGAGGAGGCAAGGAUUUGGAAAGAAAGGUUGUGAAUUGGAGAGAUGAUGAUGACAACACUGCGUUGCACAUUGCAGCUACAAAGCAACAACAUCAGGUAUAUAUGCAAUAUAAUGAUAAGUUGCGUUCCUUUGAUCAUUUUAUUAAUUAUGACUACUUAUAAUAUACUACGCAGGCAGUACAACUGUUGUUGGAGUCCUUUUAUGGGUUAGAUGCAAACGCUAAGAACUCGGAAGGUUUGACAGCUCGAGAAAUCAUAGAAAGGGUUGAAAGACAAGGGCUGAACAUGAGUGGCGCCGAAGACGAUGAUACCACCACCGCCAAGAUUGAGCGCAUUAAGAACAGAACUAGUAGGUCUGAAAGAGCAUUAGUAAAGUUGAUUCGUGCAAGGAAUGGGUUGUCAGAGAACAUGCUCAACGCAACACUGGUGGUAGCGGCGCUGGUCAUAACAGCAAUCUACCAGUCAUCUUUAAGCCCACCAAGAGGUCUUUGGCAAGGUGAUAACACUAUCCGCACCACCACCUCAAACCUUACUUCUACUACUAAAUUUACACUCUUUAACGACAAUUACGAUAUAGCAAGUUCUAGACAUGUGUUGGGUGAAGAAACAAGGAAAACUGGUACAGCAAUCAUGAACCCCAACUUGUUUUUAGGGUUUUGGUUAUUCAAUUUAAUAGCAUUUGGGCUUCCAGUUCUUCUAACCGUUUUGUUUUUAUCCAAUGUACCUAGUAUUCUUCUCAUCCCGCUUUAUUAUCUAUCCGUCUCCUACUUCAACUGCAUGACAAUAAUAUCUCCUUCCUCGUUUUGGGCAAGCAUCAACUAUGUUAUCAUGUGGGCAGCCAUUGGUCUCCCGUUGCUCUUAGUUGUUAGAAGCGUAUGGUUAUGGAAGCAGCCAAAGUACAGGGAAAUCAGACAAUUACGCAGACUUUUCCGCAAGUAAAAUAAUGUUGGAACCAUUCAACGGUUGCGAAUGUCAAUGUUGUUUAUAUGUUCUCUUACGUUAUGUACUUUUUUCCAUUUUCGGUAAAAAAUUUAUGUAAUUGUUUUGGAUAAAUUUAAUAAAUAAGAUUACUUUUUCCAACAAUAUCUUUGUCCUUUGCAACAGAAAAAAAAAACAUAGAAAAACCAACCAUCCUAUUUUAUAAUUUAAAAGAAUAUUUUCCUUUUUGUAAAAAGAGAUAUUUUCGAAGUAUUGUUAAUUCAAAAUUAACAAAUUUUUUAAUAAAUCGAUAUUAUUCUCUAAAUAUUUUCUAAAAAAAAUACAAAUUCAUAAACAACAGCUAUAUUCUUUUUCGUUGUGAUUUCGGCAAUAUAAGGCCGAAUUAAAUUUGUAAAAAGGGGUUACGAAGAUUGUAUCAAGAAACGAUUAGAAGAAUAUAAAAAAAAACAACACAGAGAAAAAUAGCAAUUUGGAGAGGUGAUUUUCUCUUUGGGAUUUUCUUUUCAUUUUUUCCUUUUGAUUUACUGUUUUUUGCAUAAAACAAAUAGAAAAGAAAAGGAGGAACCAUACCUGGGAGGCGUGCUUGCGAAGCCCUUCCUUGUUCUGUGCAGGGUGCAGAAUGAAGGAGUAGAGGGCUUUUGGGAAGAAGCGGCGCACGCAGGAGAGGAAUAACCUAGGGGUUUUUUUUUUUUUUAAAACCUUUAAAUGGCUUUUAUGCAGCAUACAACACGGCACCGUUUGGAGCCUGAUCAGUGGUUUCAAAACGGUGCCGUAUAGGCCUGUACCCAUGCGCGACCCGAUCCGACCCUGAGAGGAUCCGCGCGUUUUGUAAAUGGUUUAUUUUCUCGUUUGAUCCUUCUUGUUUUUCAAAAUGUGUUUAAUUAUUUUUUUCUUUUUAAAUUCAAUCACAAGUUUUAUUUCUGUUCUAAUUUAAUCCCCUAUCUGUUAUUAGUUAUUUAUUAUUAAUUAUUUUUACUAUUAUUUUUAUUAUUGUAUAAUAUCAUUUUUAUGGUGUUAUUAUUACCAUUACAACCAUAUUUAUGCAUACAUUUUUUUUGAAAUAUACGUACAUUUUUUUUAUAAUUUAUAUAUGUACAUACGUUUUUUAUAUUACACAAUUUAUAUACGUAUCUUUAUAUAUAUUUAAAUACAUAUUACUUUAAUUUUCAUAAAUAUAUAUAUACAUUUACAUUUUAUAAUACAUAUACAUUUUCCAAACUUUAUAGUCCAUACGUAUAUACAUUCAUUUUCUAUAAUAUACAUAUACGUACAUUUUUUGAAAUUAUUAUAAAUAUUUUUUUUUGCAUAUUUCAUUUUUUAUAUACAUAUACUUAUAUAUACAUAUUUUAAUACAUGCAUAUACAUAUUUUCAUAGUUUACUUAUAUAUUAUACUUAUACAUUUUUUAUAUUUUGUAAAUAUAAGCCGACCGAGAGGUCUUUGGCAAGGUGAUAACACUAGUAACCCCACCACCACCUCAAACCUUACUACUACCACUAAAUUUAAACUCUUUAACGACAAUUACGCUGAAAAACUUUCUAAACAUGUGUUGGGUGAAGAAACAAUGAAACCUGGUACAGCAAUCAUGAAUCCCAACUUGUUUUUAGGGUUUUGGUUAUUCAAUUUUAUAGCAUUUGGGCUUCCGGUUCUUCUAACCGUUUUCCUUUUAUACGAUGUAGCUCGUAUUCUUCUUCUCCCGCUUUAUUUUCUAUCCGUCUCCUACUUUAACUGCAUGACAAUAAUAUCUCCGUCCAUGUUUUGGGCAAACCUCAACUUUGUUGUCAUGUGGACAGCCAUUAUUCUCCCGUCUGUCUUAGUUUUUGGAGGCGUAUGGUUAUGUAUGCUGCCAAAGCACCGGGAAAUCAGACAAAUACGCAGACGUGUCCGCAAUGACAAUAAUAUCGGAAUAAUUCAGUACUUGCGAAUGUCAGUCUAACUUAUAUAUUAUAUUUAUGUACCCUUUUCCAUUUUCUCUGUAUUAAUAUCUUUUCUUUUUGAAAAAAGAAAAAACACUAUGUAAUUGCUUUGGAUAAAUUUAAUAAAAACAGAUAUACCUAGAGAUGAUUUGUGGAGGAAGGCAAAUGGGAGAGAGAUCAGACAACAUACAUAGAAUAUGGAAAGAAGAUGUGUUGAAGGAAAUACGGGACCGCAUGUAGGGAAGAAUGCAAGUGAGAUUAUGGCAAAUAAUAAACAACAUGAAGAAAAUGACCCAAUCAAGUUGGACGAGAGGGUGGAAGAUUUAUGAAUUUCCAGAACAAAGUAGUAGAGGGAGCCAUUGAUGGAGAGAACUUGAAGUGGCUUGAAAAAUGUAUUGUGGGUAGAAUGAGAAACAAUGCUACUGUGGGGUUAUGGGGUGAUACUGGAAUUUAUAAAAUUGGAGUCAAAAGAUUAUCGGAUAAUGAUUUGUAUGAAUUGGAAGCCAAUGAAUGGGGAGAUGUUUUGUAAGUGUUCAGAAAGUUGAACGGUGGACCACAAAGAUGAAAGAUUAAGGUGGUUAUCCUGUUACGAGAUUCCAAUACAUGCUUGGUCUUCGAGGAGGAAGUAGUUAAACAACUUGCUGGCUUGCUGCUAUUGAAUAUUAUAAUUGGUUUGAUUUAUUAUUUUUGGUACAAACAAUCAAGACUCAAACAGUCAAUCGACUGUCGGAUAGAGCACGUGCAACCAACCUAACAUAUGAGAAUAUAUCCAGAAGAAGAAACUUAUCCAAGUCCAACCCCCCACAAGUUGCCAAUCGGCUCAUCCCAUUGACCUUUCCACACCUUCGAAUUGAUUGGUGCAAUGCGAGGUCCAAUAUUGGAAGGAGAAUGGAAUCUAAACCGUGGGACCACACUUAAGCCGGCGUCCUAAAUGACUAGAUGCGUGGAAGACGGUGGGUAUUCUUUCACCCAAUAACAUCACUACAUAUACACAAACCAUGUCUGCCCAUCUUGUGGGCUACUUGUGAUAAAACAGGAAAACAAUGAAAAAUAAUAAUAUAAAGAAGAGAAACAAAAUCCACACCUAAUAUAAUUUUUCCUAAAUACAAGAAAACAAGUUUUGGGAUAAAAAAUCAUAUCCAAGAUUAAAGGAUUCAAUUCAUUUAGACUUGAAUGUUAAUUGAAUGAUUAAACAUUCAAAUCUCGUUAAAUUCAUGAACAGCUUUUCAUUAGAUAGAAUAUUCUCUAUUUCUUAAAUUUAAUUCUUUUAUAUUAAGAUCUGUUUGAGACAUUAAAAAUUGGUUUAAUUUACCAAAAUAAUAAUAAUGAGGCCCAUGGUUUUGGAAUCUUUUCUAUGUCACAGCUAUGGCGAUGGGGUCAAGACACAACUGUCCUUUUUUGAGGUCAAAUAAAUUGAUUAAAAAUAUCCACCAAAAUGAUAAGAAUGUACAUAAUUCAUCUUAUUUUUAAACUGAUAUUCCUAAGUAUAUUAUAUAUUUUUAAUACUGAUAUUUCUUAAUAAAUUUGUUUCUAAAUUAAAUAUUUUUUUUCAAAAUCAUCUUAAAGUUUUUGAAACUUAUGUUUGUUUAAAUAUUAAAAUAAUUUUUAAUACACUGCUUGUGGAAAAAGUUUGACAAAAUAUAAUAAAAUAUCAAAAAAAAGACGCAUACCAAUACACAAAAUAUAUUAUCUAUUUUAUAACAUAUUAUUUAAAAUAAAUAUUUUAUUUUCUAAAAGUAAUUUUUUACCGCAAUACCAAAAAUAUAAAUUUUAGAGUAAAAUUUCUGAAAGCGAAGCUGGUCAACUUGCCUUGAAACAGAUGGCGAAAAUGAGUCCAAAUUAUAUCGGAGCGAGAAACAGGGAGUGGGAUUCAAGAUUUUGACGUACUGUAUAGGCGGCCACCGAUUUAUAUCCCUCGUCAUAUAUAGAUAUAUUAAUCAUUUUUUAAAAUUUUCGAUAUUUAUAUUCAAUAUAAAUCUACCCUUGACGGAUUAAUUAGUUUAGUGUAAGCUUGGUUUAAAUCAGUUGAGGUUGCAAAUAAGGAUAGUCAGUUUGCAACUCUCCUAAUAUUUUCAUCAUUUAAAGAAAGAAACAAAAGCAUGGAUCCAAGCUUGAGAGAAGUAGCUGGAACAGGAGAUACUGAUGCCUUGUACGCUCUAAUUCGAAAGGAUCCGUACAUGUUGGAGCAUAUUGAUCAGAUUCCUUUCAUCGAUACUCCACUUCACAUAGCAGCAAAUGAAGGUCAAAUUAAGUUUGCAAUGGAGAUGAUCAACUUGAAGCCUUCGUUUGGUCGGAAGCUAAACCAAGACGGGUUUAGCCUGUUAGAAAUCAAACCCACUCCAAGCAUAAUCUAGAAGCAUGAGACGUGGAGCAAUUUUGUGCUAUGCAAAGUGCUGAAAUUUUAGCCAUACAAAGUGCUCCAUUAUUGAGAUGUUUUGUGGCUGGAAAUUAAGUGGAUUAAUAGCCACAUUUGUUGUCACUUUAUCAGCCUAUAAAUAGAGGCUUGAACUUGUGUUGUAAUGAAGAAAAAUGAGAAGAAAAAAGAAAUAAGAGAAGCAACGUGAGUGAGAGUGAGAAGGUUAGCAAACCUUGAGUGAGUUAAAAUCUAGCAGCAGCUAGACUAUCUAGUCAUUGAGAAAAUAUUUGUAAUCUUCGUAUUGUAAUAUAUUGAGUGUGUAAUAAAAAGUAAAUUUUCGGCCCAUCACGUUUCCAACAAGUGGCAUCAGAGCUACGGUUCGGAGCUUGGUUCGGAGUUCGGUUCGUGUCCGGUUCGUGUCCAGUUCGGAGUACCUUUGGUGUUCAUCUAACAAGUCGAUAUGGGCGACGUAAUUCAGCUACAAGUUCCACAAUUGACGAAGACAAAUUAUGGAAAUUGGAGCAUUCGAAUGAAGGCUUUGCUCGGUUCGCAAGAUUGUUGGGAGAUCGUUGAAAAAGGAUACAUCGAGCCCGGAGAUGCCGCUACAGAAGCAGCUUUAUCAAAUGACGCUAAGAAGGCGUUACGAGAAGCACGAAAGAAGGAUCAAAAGGCCUUGAAUAGUAUCUUUCAAGGAAUGGAUGAAUCAACCUUCGAGAAAAUAUCAGAUGUGAAGAACGCGAAGAAUGCAUGGGAGAUUUUGCAAAAAUCAUUUCAAGGUGUAGAAAAAGCUAAAAAGGUACGCCUUCAGUCACUUAGAGCUGAAUUUGAAAUGUUAAAAAUGAAGAGCUCCGAGAAUAUCGAUGACUAUGCCAAUCGUGUAAAAUCGGUGGUAAAUGAAAUGAAACGAAAUGGAGAAACUCUUGACGAGGUAAGAGUGAUGGAGAAAAUUCUACGGUCACUCACACGCAAAUUCGAGUACGUAGUCGUUGCCAUCGAAGAAUCAAAAGAUUUGUCAAAGAUGUCGCUCGAAGAACUUGUGGGUUCUCUGCAAGCCCAUGAGCAAAAGAUGAAGCUAAAUGAAGAUAGUGAAAAUCUUGAUCAAGCCUUGCAUAGCAAGUUGUCCGUCGACGACGGAGAAACAAGUAAUAACUUUAACCAAGGAAGAGGAAACCGCAGAGGAUACCGUGGAGGCUACCGUGGUGGAAACAGAGGAGGAAGAGGAUCACGAGGACAUGGAAAUCAAUCAUAUGGGAGAUAUCAAGAAAAUAAAGAUUAUCAAACAUCCAACCGUGGACGUGGAUCUAGAGGUCGUGGCCGAGGCAGAUUUCAAGAAAAUAAAUCUCAGGUACAAUGCUACAACUGUAACAAGUAUGGACAUUUCAGUUACGAGUGCAGAUCAACACACAAAGUGGAUGAAAGAAACCAUGUAGCAGUCGCAGCAGAAGGCAACGAAAAAGUGGAAUCAAGUGUCUUUCUCACUUACGGAGAAAAUGAAGAUCGCAAGAGAAGUGUGUGGUAUCUCGACAACGGUGCAAGCAACCACAUGUGUGGAAGAAAGGAGCUGUUCACAGAAUUAGAUGAAACAGUUCAUGGACAAAUAACUUUUGGAGACAACUCACAUGCAGAAAUCAAAGGAAAGGGCAAGGUUGUUAUAACACAAAGGAAUGGAGAGAAGAAGUACAUCUCAGACGUUUACUACGUACCAGCUUUGAAGAGCAACCUGAUCAGUCUUGGUCAACUCCUAGAAAAAGGAUAUGAAGUUCAUAUGAAAGACCGCUCACUCGCCAUCAGGAACAAAAGUGGAGAAUUAGUUGUUCGAGUUGAUAUGACGCGAAAUCGUCUUUUCACCCUCGACAUCGAGUCUGGAGAAGUAAAAUGCAUGAAGACGGAUCUGAAGAAUGAAUCAUGGUUGUGGCACUUAAGGUACGGACAUCUCGGAUUUUCUGGCUUGAAGCUGUUGUCGAAGACAAAUAUGGUGAAUGGAUUACCAAGUAUUAAUCAUCCAGAUCAACUGUGUGAAGCCUGUGUCAAAGGAAAGCAGCAUAGGCAGAAAUUUGAAGUAGGAAAAUCUCGAAGAGCUAGAAGACCAUUGGAAAUUGUACACACCGACAUAUCUGGUCCGUACGACAUUGAAUCACUCGGUGGAAACAGGUACUACCUAACUUUUAUUGAUGAUUAUAGCAGAAAAUGUUGGGUUUAUUUUCUCAAAGCAAAAUCGGAAGCCCUAGAAAAAUUCAAGGAGUUCAAAGCAAUGGUGGAAAAACAGAGUGGUCGAUAUUUGAAGAUACUCAGAUCCGAUAGAGGAGGCGAGUAUACUGCAAAGCUUUAUGAAAGUUUCUGCAAGGAUCAUAGAAUCAUUCAUUAGUUAACAGUCAGACGCACUCCACAACAAAACGGAGUUGCAGAAAGGAAGAAUCGGACAAUUCUGGAUAUGCCAAGAAGCAUGAUAAAAGGUAAACACCUUCCGAGAACUUUCUGGGCUGAAGCCGUUGAAUGCGCAGUUUAUCUGUUGAAUCAAUGUCCAACAAAAAGUGUAAGACACAAGACACCAGAAGAAGCAUGGAGCGGUCACAAGCCAAGAGUUGGACACCUCAAAAUUUUUGGAUGCAUUGCAUAUGCACACGUUCCUGAGCAACAGAGGAAAAAGCUUGACGAUAGAGGAGAGAAGUGUAUCUUUAUAGGCUAUGACAAAAGAAGUAAGGCCUACAGACUUUAUAAUCCUCUUACUAAGAAAUUGAUUAUCUCAAGAGAUGUCGAGUUCGAUGAAGCGGAUUACUGGAGAUGGAGUGAAGAAGAAAAGAAAGUGGAAGGAUUAUUUUUCAACGAAGACGACAAUAACCAAGAAGAACAAGGCGAUGAUCAAAGUCCUGGUACAACAGCCCCUUCGUCACCAACCAGCAGCAGCGGAAGCAGCAGCUCAGAUGAAGCACCCACAAGAACACGGAGUCUCAACGACAUCUACAAUUCUAUGGAACCUGUAGAGACGCAGUUCGAUUAUUCACUAUUCUGUCUAAUGACAGAAUGUGAUCCAGUGACGUACGAAGAAGCAAUUGAAAACAAUAAAUGGAAGAAGGCCAUGGACGAGGAGAUUGCUGCAAUAAGAAGGAAUGACACGUGGGAGCUAACAAGUCUGCCAGAAGGACAUAGCCCGAUUGGUGUCAAGUGGGUGUACAAGACGAAGACCAACAAAGAAGGAAAAGUAGAGAAAUACAAGGCAAGAGUAGUCGCCAAAGGCUACAAGCAAAGACAAGGAGUGGACUAUGAUGAAAUAUUUGCUCCAGUCGCAAGAAUAGACACAAUUAGGCUUCUCAUAGCGGUCGCAGCACAAUACAAAUGGAAAAUCUAUCAGAUGGACGUCAAGUCUGCAUUCCUGAAUGGCUACUUGGAGGAGGAAGUCUACAUAGAACAACCACCUGGAUAUAGCAUACAAGGAAAGGAGGACAAAGUCUACCGAUUGAAGAAAGCUUUGUAUGGAUUGAAGCAAGCCCCAAGAGCAUGGAACACAAGGAUCGACGAGUACUUCCGAAGAAAUGGAUUCAUCAAAAGCCCGCACGAGCACACCCUGUACACAAAGAAGAAUGGAUAUGGAGAUAUCAUGAUCGUAUGCCUAUAUGUGGAUGACAUGAUCUUCACCGGAAACAAUCCAGGUAUGUCUGAUGAUUUCAAGAAAGCUAUGACUAAAGAAUUUGAAAUGACAGAUAUCGGUGAGAUGUCAUACUUUCUUGGAGUCGAGGUGAAACAAAUGCAAGAUGGAAUUUUUGUCUCUCAAAAGAAGUAUGCGGAGCAGAUUUUGAACAAGUUCAAAAUGAAGGAUUGCAAGCCAGUAGUCACGCCAGCUGAUCCAGGGAUGAAGCUAAGUGUUGAUUCGACAAGGGAGUCGAUAAAUCCGACGUUGUUUAAAAGUCUCGUUGGAAGUUUAAGGUAUUUGACAAUCACACGACCAGAUAUUACAUAUGCAGUAGGAUUGGUGAGCAGAUUCAUGGAGAAGCCAAAGCAAGACCACUUAAUUGCCGCAAAAAGAAUUUUGAGAUAUAUCAAAGGUACGAUGAACCAUGGUUUAUUCUAUACCCACUCACAAGAUUCAAAAUUAGUUGGCUACUCAGAUAGCGAUUAUGGGGGAGACUUGGAUGAUCGGAAAAGCACUUCCGGAUAUGCAUUCCACAUCAGUUCCGCAGUUUUUUCAUGGUCGUCAAAGAAGCAACAAACAAUUGCUCUCUCAACAUGUGAAGCAGAGUAUAUGGCCGCAGCAACUUGUACAUGCCAAGCAAUGUGGUUGAAGAAUAUUUUGGGAGAAAUAGGUGUUUCAAAUGAAGGUCCAAUUACCAUCUACGUUGACAACAAAUCCGCUAUAUCACUUGCCAAGAAUCCGGUGUCGCACAGCCGAAGCAAGCACAUCGAUACGAAGUAUCAUUUUAUCCGAGAGCAAGUGAAAAACAAAAACGUGGAGUUGGUCCAUUGCAGGACAGAAGAUCAACUGGCAGAUAUUUUCACAAAGCCGUUGAAAGUGGAGACAUUCAACAAAUUCAAAGAGAAGCUCAGUAUGAAAGUUGGGUUUGAGGGGGAGUGUUAGAAAUCAAACCCACUCCAAGCAUAAUCUAGAAGCAUGAGACGUGGAGCAAUUUUGUGCCAUGCAAAGUGCUGAAAUUUUAGCCAUACAAAGUGCUCCAUUAUUGAGAUGUUUUGUGGCUGGAAAUUAAGUGGAUUAAUAGCCACAUUUGUUGUCACUUUAUCAGCCUAUAAAUAGAGGCUUGAACUUGUGUUGUAAUGAAGAAAAAUGAGAAGAAAAAAGAAAUAAGAGAAGCAACGUGAGUGAGAGUGAGAAGGUUAGCAAACCUUGAGUGAGUUAAAAUCUAGCAGCAGCUAGACUAUCUAGUCAUUGAGAAAAUAUUUGUAAUCUUCGUAUUGUAAUAUAUUGAGUGUGUAAUAAAAAGUAAAUUUUCGGCCCAUCACGUUUCCAACAUAGCCCCAUGCACUUGGCCCUCCAAAUGGGGCAUACCAAGCUAGUGCUUCGACUGUUGAAGACCGAUAAAGACCUGGUUCGCGUCAAAGGAAGGGAAGGGAUGACCCCUUUCCAUUGUGCAGCUGCAGUGGGGAACUCUAAAUCUUUUAUUCCACUUCCUUGAAACUUGCCCUGAAUGCGUUGAGGAUGUCACGGUUCGUAACGAGACUGCAUUACAUCUUGCUCUGAAAAACGACCACACCGACGCUUUUAAUCUCUUACAUGGAUGGCUUCGAAAAAACCGUCGUGGAGGAGGCAAUGGUUUGGAAAGAAAGGUUGUGAAUUGGAGAGAUGAUGAUGAUAACACUGUGUUGCACAUUGCAGCUACAAAGCAACAACAUCAGGUAUAUAUGCAAUAUAAUGAUAAGUUGCGUUCCUUUGAUCAUUUUAUUAAUGAUUAUUUAUAAUAUUCUACGCAGGCAGUACAACUGUUGUUGGAUUCCUUUUAUGGGUUAGAUGCAAACGCUAAGAAUUCGGAAGGCUUGACAGCUCGAGAAAUCAUAGAAAGGGUUGAAAGACAAGGGUUGAACAUGAGUGGCGCCGAAGACGAUGAUACCACCACCGCCAAGAUUGAGCGCAUUAAGAAAAGAACUAGUAGGUCUGAAAGAGCAUUAGUAAAGUUGAUUCGGGCAAGGAAUGGGUUGUCAGAGAACAUGCUCAACGCAACACUGGUGGUAGCGGCGCUGGUCAUAACAGCAAUCUACCAGUCAUCUUUAAGUCCACCAAGAGGUCUUUGGCAAGGUGAUAACACUAGUAUCCCCACCACCACCUCAAACCUUACUACUACUACUAAAUUUAAACUCUUUAACGACAAUUACAGUGAGUAUCGUUUUAAAUUUCUGUUGGGUGAAGAAACAAGGAAAACUGGUACUGCAGUCAUGAAUCCCAACUUGUUUUUAGGGUUUUGGUUUUUCAAUUUUAUAGCAUUUGGGCUUCCAGUUCUUCUAACCGUUUUGCUUUUAUCCAAUGUACCUAGUAUUCUUCUCAUCCCGCUUUAUUAUCUAUCCGUCUCCUACUUUAACUGCAUGACAAUAGUAUCUCCUUCCACGUUUUGGGCAAACCUCAACUUUGUUGUCAUGUGGACAGCCAUUCUUCUCCCGUUGCUCUUAGUUGUUAGAAGCGUAUGGUUAUCGAAGCAGCCAAAGUACAGGGAAAUCAGACAAUUACGCAGACUUUUCCGCAAGUAGAAUAAUGUUGGAAUCAUUCAACGGUUGCGAAUGUCAAUGUAGUUUAUAUGUUCUAUUAUGUUAUGUACUUUUUUCCAUUUUCUCUGGAUUAAUAUCUUUUCUCUUCGGUAAAAAAAUUAUGAAAUUGCUUUGGAUAAAUCUAAUAAAUAAGAUUAGUUUUCCCAACA